rnacentral:lncRNA from 1 species
CCCCCCCCCCUCCAAUGACCUCAUAGACCAUCUCUCUCACCCUCCGUCGUCUCUGUCGCUGAAAAUCGCUCCAUGGCUGCGGGCAGUCCCCAAACGACCCCAAAUCUUCACCCUAUAAUGCCUACCUAAUUCUCAUAUCACAUCGCUUCGUUUCCUUCAAAACCCUCAAGAAUCUCUCAAUUUGUAGAUCUUGGAAAUCCUAAAACCUAAAUCCAUCCUUUUUGAUUUUUUCUCAAAUUCUGGCUUGUUAAGGCUUAAAACCAUUACCAAUCGACUUCUCUUGUUUAGUAUUACAGAAUGUCAUUGGUUUCAUCUCGUUUCAAGAUGGCCGACCGCCGACCAACUCACCAUUGACCGGCCAGAAGUGCUGAAAUUCCACAAAGGUUGGUCUUUUUGGCCGAAUUAUGGCUAACAUCGUCCCAUACAGCAUUAAUUACGCCCUCAAGCAUAAGCCAGUGCUCAUGUGGCGAUGUCGUCUCUCGUCCGGAAUUUUUUUCUCUGCGGCCAACAGUGCUUCACAUGGUAAUCCUCUACUUCUUUUUUUCAUUCCUUGGAGUUGUAUUCUAUGUCUUAGUUGUUAAUUAUUAGUUCAUUUUUAAUUUUGGUUUGACAACAUGCUUAGGUUUAUUAUUAAUCACUAAUAAAUUUAUUUUAGCUUUGUAAGUAGUUAUUUCCAGAAUCUGAAGUUUAUAUAGUUUUGGUCUUAAAUGGUAUAUUUGUUUAAUCAACACGUUAAUUACCUGGUGAUUCCUGCUGAGUUAUGUUUGUUAACCUUUAUUAGUUUAAGUUUAGUUAAUUCUUUGCUUAAUGCUGUCAAGAGAAGGAAGGCAGUAAUUUUGGUUAGAAGAUAGUAAGCGUUGAGGUAAAAGGAAAAGGUUAAAAGAAGGGUUAUUAACAGGAACUUGAGGGGUCUAAAGAAAUAGGAAACUUGGGGAACCUUGGGUAUAACUGACUUAUAAUCUUCUAGAAUAGGGCAGUAAGGGAUGGAAAGCAAUAAAACAGUAAAAAUUAGGUCAAAAAUGGACUUAAGGAUUAAAAUACAGAAAGUAAAAGGGGCUGGAAAGAAAGAGAGAUAACAAAAUACAGCUAUGGGAAUAUUCUAUAUAACAAACUCUCUGACAUUCUGCAGCCUCAUGCAAUUCACUCCCCAAUUUUUUUCAUUUUAUUCUCAUGCUCAUCUGUCGACAUCCUCUACACAUUUCUUUCAUAUUCACUCUCCCUUCACUCAUUUAUACGAAAUUCACUCAUUUAUCUCAUCUCACUCACAAACUCACACUCGUUUACAUACACUUAGAGACCUCUGGAAAUGGAAAUACAAAAAAAAAUAGUGAAGUUUUAGGUCGAUUUAUAUACUCAAAAACAGUUAGUUUGUGUUUGUUAAUUCAAAGACAUCUCCUACAUGUGUUCCCUAGGUUUUAAAGCCGUUUAAUCAGUAAUUGAAAUUGUCUUAUGUUGUUUCUUUGUCAAUUAGUAGCUAAGCUUCAGUUUAGCAGCUCUCAACCUUUAAUUAGUCAUUUUAAGAUUUAUUUUCUAUUGUCGAUUGCUAAAACUUUGCUGAGCUCUGUUCAAGUAUGUUUUUAGCCUUUGUUUGGUCUUCUCCUAGUACUUUCUAGCCUUGAAAUGGUAAGUCCAAACACUCAUCUAUUUAUGUCUUCCCUUGAACGAAAAGCUUUUAAUUUCUCUGAAAUUUUGGAUUGAUCUGUUGAAUACUCAUGUGAGCAUAACAACAUGAACUAAUUUGCAUGCAUUGUUUGCUAUAUUACUUGAGAAAUAGACAUAAAAGUAGAUUGUGAAACUAUGAGUUUUCUCUGUUAAUCUCUGUACUAAUUUUCUUAUCUCAUAAUUUGAUUAAACAUGAAUUCUAGACUCGAUACAUUUAUAAUAUUUUGUUCAAGUGAUUUUAUGUAGUAAUUUAUAACGAGAAAAGGCCACUGUUGCAACAGAUAUAACAGUCGUUCAUGGAUUUGGCCAUUAAUUGGUCAAAUUUAUAAAUCUCAAAGCCAAAAUAUUUUAUUAGAAGUGUUUGGAGCUAUUGUAAUUCGUUUUGCUCAAGUAGAAGCAUAAAUUUUCAUGUUGGGACUGUAAUAUGAUUUUUGGACAUGAGUAUAUUGUAUUAUGUAAAGUCACAUGGGACUGAGGUUUCAUUCGAUCCAACUUUAUUCUUUAUCCUAGCCCACAAAUACUAGUAAUUUUAAAUAUUGUAACUUUGCUAUUAUGUGUUUUCCUUUAGAUUUAAACACACUUGUUUGAAAUUAUCUCAUUGUUUACCAUAUUACAUGCCAAAUUCAUAAAGCUGAGCACUGUUGUCACGUGGCCUCUAAUACAUUUGUCAAUAGAUUCUCGUGACAUAUUAAUUAGCGCAUUAAAUAAAGACGAAUUUACACACACGUGAUUUGUUUCAAGAUAAUUCCAUAACACCAUAAUUAAAAAAGGUAAAAGGUAAAACUUAUAUAGGUUCUAAAAUACGUAAUUAAUAAUUAAUUAAGCCAACUUAUGAUUAUAAAGUGACCGCACUAAAACCGCAGAAUCCGGAAAUGCCUACCUUCUCCCGGGUUAACAGAAUUCCUUACUCGGUCUUCUGUAUUUCACAAACUUUAAACAGAGUCAAAUUUCUUUGAUUUGGAAUUAUAAAAUAAUCUAGUAACUUGGGACACCAUAAUAAAUUAUUCCAAGUGGUGACUCUUAAAAAAUAAAAUAAAUCAAUCCCAUUUCAAAUAAUGUCACUUAAAUUGGAAAAACUCCUUUCCCCGCAAAAAGGAGGUGUGACAACUCUGACUACUCUACUGGGAAAAUAAAUCUAGAACUCCUAGUUCCGGACUCAAAAUUCGAGCUUGUAAUGUGAUUUAUACUUGGCUAUAUUGAUUGUAUGAUAUUACUGUAUUUGUGGGCCUUAUGUGCUAAUUUUUGCUCAUUUAUCACUUUGAUAUUAUUUGAGCUGUAUAAACUAUCUUCUUACGCCUCCCUUAUGAGUCUUCUGAAUUUAUGGUGCACUCAUGCGCGUGGCCCACUUUUCUGUUAGAGGUCAUAUAAAAUAGAACGACGUUGGAUAAGUAACUAGGCCGGGUAGACUUUCGUGCUCCCGGUAUGUUGCCCCCACCUCGGCUCAAGCUAUCCGCUUGGGUAAGCCAGGUCUAAAACUUACCCCUAGGAUUUAAACCUAGAAUAACAUAGCCUCAUCCUGAAUACCUAGUAGGAAUGUUUGUUUGCAUCACGCGCAUUUGACUUUGGGGACUCAACACAGGGGUUGGGUCCAUCUAGGACAGGUAUACCUAAAAAAUAAAAGACCAUCCUGAUGCAUCCUAUGUGCUACUUUUACAUUUUGUUUGAUCUGGUUUGUAUGUUGAUCGACUUUUAGAGUAAGUACAGAAAAUUGAGAAAAAGCAGAAGUGAGAGGUAGGAGAGAGAAAAUUCAUCCGAUUUCUAAAAACUCCAGUAUUUGAAAAAUUCUGAAACUCUGUCUAAAUUUUUUUUUUUUUGAAAAAAAGAAGAAGGAAAGAAAGGUCGUUUCAAAAUGAGCCACGAUUUUCAAGUGUCAUAUUUCUCCUCUUCCAUCAAAAUUGUACCGAAUUAUGCAGGUCUGAUUCUCACCAAAUAUGAGAUACGUAGGCAACCUACAUAGGGUUCGGCCUCAUUUUUGGAAAAGAUAACCAGAAAGAAAGAAAUGUGUCCAGUGUUUUGGUCAAAUAAGUAAGCCGACCUAGCUUCAGUUGCAUCCUGAGCCGUUUAUGUCGGAAUAGCCUUAGAAACAUCUUCAAAAUUGUCAAAGGGCUAUUCUCGCAAGAACGAAUGUGUCUGUCAAUUAGGCGUCACUUUUAGCAUAAUUCCCCCCCUUUCUUGGAAACACGAAGGGGCCAUAGUUGCAAAAAUAGCCACCUCUUUCCUUGGACAUAAUUGCACAUAUAUCUACCCCCUUCUGACUUUUCAUAAAAAUAGUUUAAUUUACAAAAGAUUAUUUUGCAAAAAGAAUCCAUUGGUUUUGUCUUUUGAAACUACUGUCAACCCUAACCUUAACCAUCUAGAGGUACAAAAUGAGCAUUGUUCAGAACAUGCCGUUAACAGUGGUAGACUAGGCUCCACUUCAGCUUUAGAUGUGGUGGUAUGACUUGGGGUAAGAUGGUCAGUAAUGAGUAACAAAGCAUCUGGGCGUCAUCACAGAUAUUAUUAAAGUUAAACCACAAGACGAUUUGAUUGAGGCACUAGUGACCUUUUGGGAUCCCGUUCAUAAUGUCUUCCGCUUCUCGGAUUUUGAGCUUACUCCCACUUUAUAAGAGAUAACUGGAUAUUCCGCAUUCGGCAAGGAUUUAAGAAACCAAAAACUCAUAUUCCCAAUGGCUCUCUCUGUGCAUCGAUCUUUGAUCUUCUGAAUAUCAGUAAGCAAAUUAGAAAGACCAAUGUAGUCGGAGGGUGUUGUUCUUUCACCAUUGCUUCGCCUUCAUAGUGGCAUUUCUAGGAAUUAUAGUCUUCCUAAAUGAGGAGCGGACAAUUGAUACCCACGUAACCCGGAUCGUACAGGUCCUCACCACCAAAGAACAUCACACUUUUGCCCUGAUCAAUCUAUCAAACAUUUAUCGGGCAUUGACUUUGUGUAAUUCCGGGGCAAAGUUCUUCGAAGGGUGCAAUUUUUUGUUGCAAAUGUGGUUGAUUGAGCAUCUCCAACAUCACCCCAAGUUCAUGAGCUAUGGCCCGAGGAAGAACAACCUCAUUGGGAGCUACGAAGAAAGAGUAAAAGAUUACAACUGCCAGAAGGGGUGGAAACAUAGAUAUCCCACAUAAGAUCUUUAAACCCAAGUCAAAUUGAGUGGACUUUGGGAUGGCUCCUGGUAAGAUAGGUGAUACAUAUAUCGGCCCUGAAAAGUUAUUUGUUGUUGUUGAGUUUGAGAAGCGUCCAACCUUAUGCACCACAAAGAGUUCUAAAACAACUAGGAAGGUGCCUAAUAGUGCUUGAGGAUGAAAAUUUAAGCAUGCAAGUAAUUGAGCUACACCUAGAAUCCCCCACUCCCCAAGACCUUAAUCCAGCAAAUUUGGGAUGAUUGCCGGUACUUGAAAGAUGAUACCCAGGUGCCGGAUCCUACUAGAGGUGAGGUAGUUCCGGGUUAUGCUAUGUGGUUUGGGAAAAGGUCUCGUGUGGGUGAUGAGCCUGAGCCCGAGCUCGAAAGGCCAGCAAAAAGGUCGCAUGUUCCAGAUUUUGAUGACAAAAUCCAAGAACGGUUGGCCUGGGAUGAAAAAGAAAAAGGAUACCAAGCGACUAUUCAUGCCUUAGAAGAAAAACUGAGAAACCUCAAAUUUGAGAAUGACUUACAAGCGCAAGAGGUUGAAGGUGAAAAGAAAAGUUUGAUCCGUAAGAAUGAAGCUGUCCUUUCUCAGCUUAAACAGAUGAAGAAAGCCUCUAAAGUGAUGACCAAAAAUCGGAAAGACCAAAGAACUAUUGCCAGCUUGCUAGAGAAAAUGUAAGAUUAUGAUGUCAUUCUUGAAAAUACCGAAAAGGCAUUAGGAAAAGCCAAGGAAAAGAUUGGUCAACUAAGAGGGUAGGUGAAUGACCGUGUGAAGUUGUCACAACAGAUUAAGCAAUAUCACGAUGAAAAGGUCUUCGUCCUUAGGAAAGAAUUGGGUGCCCUGGAAGAGGCGUUAGGUCGUUAGUCCAAGGAAUUUGAUGCUGAAAGGUAACAUUGCUAUGCGUUGAUCAACAAGCUGGAAGGUGAUGUAGUAAACCUGUAAAACCAGAACAACAGGGCAGAGCGAGUAGUUGAAGCACGAGAACAACAUGUUGGAUGGUUGCUCCUGGAAUGAGGUGCCACUAAGCUCAGAAUCAAAGAAAUAGCUGGCUGCACUGCGAUGAAAUGCCAUGAAUGUGAGAGUAUGACUAAAGCUAUGUUCUUUGCUUCAGUGUUGUCUUUCACUUGCCACGUCAUGGCCGACCUAGAGUUUCUUCAUGGUGGGUUUGCAGGCAAGCCCGCUCAAUGAUCGACUGAUGUCACCUGGGACCCUGGAUAAUAGUUGAGAGUUAUUUGCCUUUUUUAAUUGUUCAGUCAUCAAGUCUGUAGUUUACUUUUUCUCGCAUUAAGUCUGUUUGUCCUUCGUCCAUUUCGAGUAUGUUGUUUUUGCUUCGAGUCUAUACGUUUUCCUAUCAAAAUCAGUUGUUGAUGUUUUCGAGUCAUGGUAAUCAAAAACCCAAAAAUAUUUUAUUAAUGUAAUAUUGAGAACCCUAAAAAUUUCUUUGCUUUAAUUUUACAUUUUAUUUCCCUGAACUACGUAAGGGUUUGAUUGAUGCGACGUUAUGAUACGUAGGCAAUCCCCAUCGAAAGCGAUCAUAGCCAUAAACAAAAUUGAGCGAAAAAUCAACAAAAAGAGAAAGAAACUAAGUGAAAAACAAACAAAAAAAAGAAAAACAAAGAGUGACAAAGCAAAAGAGGAAAAAACAAAGAGUGACAAAAAUAAAAGAGAAAAAAAGAGCAGGAAAUAGAAGAAAAGAGUGCAAACAUUGAAAAGACGGGGUGAAACACGCGACCGUUACAAACACAUGGUAGAAGCGUUUAACUAUUUAGGUGCAUUGCAUCCCCAACGUGCAAUUUCCCAUUUGUUAAAUGCUUUAAAACUAACAAGGUUGUUGUGCAUGCUGUUAAGCCAGAUUCUAUUCAAGUGGUUGGUUUUUGUUAGUAAUCUGGCUUCCCAUCCCUACUUCACAAGAUCUAAAGGAAAGGUUCUGAUGUCCUUCGAAAGCAGUCUACACAUUAUCAACCCCAAAGAUAGCCCAAUACAAGCUAUUCCACAAACAGAAACGGCAACUGCUGAAGAGAAUAAGUUGUUGCGUCUUCGCGUGUUGGAAAUGUGGGAUGCCUGGUCUAAUAGUAGGGAACCGCAGAGUGCAAUUCCUGGGUUCCCUGAGUUGAUCCCAUGGUCGGAUGGGGCUACCCACGUCCCUGCAUCCAACCCGUUCAUCUCAUGCGGGUACCCUCCAAUACCGUCUAACGGUCCUAGCAUGCCUUCUGUGGUUCGCCCCCAAGCAUCGGUUUCCGGGGUACCUCCAGCAUUGUUCUCUGCAAUGCCUGUCUUCACUGCGGUACAACCGACCGUGCCCAGGCCAUAUUUUGAACCUAUGACAUUCACAUUCCAGGGCCUGCAAUUUCAACAAGAUAUGACCUAUAUCACUCUGGAUUCAUAUACUCAACAUCCACAAUAUGAGUCUCCAGUUGAACCAAAAAGAACAAUAAAAAAUUCCGAGCAAGAAGAAAUGGCUCAAAAAAUAAAGAGCUGGAGCAGAGUUUAAAGAAUAUGCAGGGCCUGAGUGGCCAAAAGAGUGUCUCCUACUCUGACUUAUGCAUGUUUUCACAUGUUCAUUUUCCAUCUGGUUUCAAAAUGCCAAAAUUUGAAAAGUACGACAGGCACGGAGACCCGAUUGCCCAUUUGAAAAGGUACUACAACCAGCUAAGAGAGACUGGUGGAAAAGAGAAACUUGAUGGCAUACUUUAGAGAGAGUGUGGUGGGAAUUUCCUCUGAAUGGUACAUGGACCAGGAAAUCGCUCACUAGCACGUAUGAGAUGAACUUGCCAAAGAUUUCGUCUGCCAAUUUCAAUAAAAUGUGGAUAUUGCUCCAGAUAGAAACUCCCUAUCUAAUCUGAAAAAGAAAUCCAUGAAAACUUUCCAUGAGUAUGUUUUUAAGUGGAGUGAGCAGGCCGUUUGUGUGAAGCCACCAAUGUAUGAGACAGAGAUGGUCACAUCUUUCUUAUAGGCCCAAGAGGCCGACUAUUUCCAGAACAUGAUGUCUGCCAUGGGAAAACCAUUCGUCGAUCCAUAAAGAUUAGGGAAAUGGUUGAAAACAGGUUGAAAACAGGUUGAAAACGGGAAGGAUAUUGAGUCAGGCAGCCCUUAAAGCUACUUCUCAAGCCAUCCAGAAUGGCUCAGGGGAUCUAGCUUAUCGGAAAAUAGAAAAGAUGGAGCAUGAUGGCUUCAAGCUCAAGGGGGUCUUGCAAAUCAUUUAACUAGUCUUAUAUACCACUGCGAACCCCAUAACAUUACUACCCGUACCAUGAUACUGCAUACACCGUGGCACCGCCUCCCUAUGUGGUGAUGAACGCACAAACCUACACACGGCACCAACAAAACUACAAUCAAAGCUGAGCUCCACCUCCCAGAAAUAACCGUCCUUACCAAACUCCAUAUAAUCCUCAUCCACCACAAAAUACACCUCAUUAUAAUCCACACUGCUGAGAGCCUCCUAGCAUAAACCAUUUCACCCCCAUCAGUGAAUCAUACUCGAGUUUGCUUCAGAAGUUAAUCCAAUUGGAUUUACUACAACCUGUGGCUCUGAAUCAGCCAAAUCCCGAGUCUGUGACAUACAUUGCUGAUGCCAGAUGUGCAUACCAUUUGGGGGUGUUAGGCCAUGAUACAGAAUAUUUCUGGACCCUCAAGAGGACAGUUGAAGACUUAAUUGAAGCUAAAAGAAUUGUGUUGAUAGACGAGGAGGCUCCCAAAUGGGCCAGCUAUCGCUAUGAUCUGUGAUGAUAAAAAAUUUAACCCGGCGUUGAAGGCCAUUGUUGCUAUUGCUAGUUCGUAGUCAAAACCUAAAGUAGCAGCAAAACCAAAAAAAAAAUGAAAAGGAAAUAACCCGGUCCCUCAGGCUAUUGAAACGAAAGUUGGGUCAUCACCUGCCAAGAAUUUGGUUCUUUAUGUUCCAAAAGCCCUGAGGAAAGAACAACUUGUCCUCGGCACUUCAAAGAAGUUUGAUGAAAGUAAAGUUACAUUGAACGUGCCAAGCUUGUAUGUACCGAAGGGAACACAUGUGGCGCGGGGGACAAUAAUAUCACCAAGGCUGACUGAGCCCGUGGUUAUCAGUCCCACACCACAAACGUCAAUGGAAGAUCCUACUGCGGUUCCUUGGGAUUAUAUCAAGACAGUUGUCACUUAUAAAGGGAAAGAAGUUGUGGGGGAAGUCAAUGAGAUGACUCGGUUGGGGAGGUACUAUACCCCAGAUGAACUCAGGAAAGCUAAACAAAACAGGGACAACCAGAUACCACCCAAGAAAUCUCUGAGCAAUGAAGAAGCGGAGGAAUUCUUUAGGAAAAUGAAAACUACAGAGUACUCGAUAGUCGACCAACUCUGGAAGACUCCCUCUCAGAUCUCACUUCUAUCUCUUUUGUUGAGUUUAGAUGAACACCAAAAAGUGCUCCUCAAAACUUUGAAUGAAGCAUAUGUCCUAGUUGAAACUACUGUUGCACAAUUGGAAAGGAUGGCUGAGAGGUUUUUUGAGGUCAAUAAGAUCUCAUUCGGUCGUAAUGAUUUUCCUAUAGAGGGAGCUUCCCACAACAAAGACCUCCACCUGACUGUUAAAUGUCAGGGCUACUAUGUGAAAAGAGUGAUGCUGGAUGGCAGGUCUGGAAUAGAUAUUUGUCCCAUCUCAAUGCUCCAGAGAAUGGAAACCGGUACAGAAAGAAUUCAGUCUAAUAAUGUCUGUGUGCAAGCCUUCGUUGGGGUUAAGAGGGGCAUAAUUAGAUAAAUUGUUCUAAUCUUAACUAUCGCCCCGUAGACUUUGAGGUGACCUUCCAAGUCUUGGACAUGGAAACCUCGUACAAUUUCCUUCUUGGUAGACCAUGGAUUCAUGUUGUCAGAGCUGUUCCUUCCACUCCCCAUUAGAUGGUCAAGUUUGAGUUUGAUAAUUAAAAAAUCGUUGUCCAUGGAGAAGACAAGCAAUCUAUUUACCAGGACCCCUUAGUCUCGUGUCUUGAAGCUAGGGAAGGUAGUAAGUUUAUCGUGUAUCAAGCUUUUGAAAUUGUGGUCGAUGACCAGUUUGAAGAGGGGGCCCCGCUACCUCAAACUUGUUUGUCCAAUGCUUCAAUUAUGGUUGCCACCCAAAUGAUCAGAAAUGGUACAAGACCGGCAAGGAGCUCAGAGCAUCUCUGUAGGGCAUUAUUGAGCCCUUUCCCCCCGUCAUCAAUGAGAAGCCUUUUGGGUUAGGUUUCCGAGAUACAGCAGCUGAUAGAACAUGGGCUGGCGAACGCAAAGAAAAUGGGUGGGUCCUAUCACAACCCAUCCCACAUAUCUCCCGAUCAUUUGUCAAACAAAAGUAUGUAGAGGAAGAAGAAGAGGCCUUCACAGCCGAAGAGAUAGAUGAUAUCUGCGGAGCUCUGAAAUAAAUGCUAUAUGAAUCCGUCAUGGUCCAGCUAGGGAAAGGCACGAGCCAUGCCGAGGUGCAGUAUAUGGGACCAAAUUUCAAACUCAAGAACUGGGAGGCUACCCCAUUCCCCUUCAGGCGGGAAUCCUGGUAGUUUAUUCUUGCUAUCUUUUCUGUAUUACGGGUUAUUUCAGGGUGUAACUCGAAUGGUUUUUCUUUAAUGUCUUUAAAUUCUGAUGUAAACUCUUACAUCUUUCAAUUCAAUGAAAUGAAAUCAAUAUUUCAUUGCUCAUACAUGUCUCUUUUUCUUUUUCUAAUUUUGCUAUUUUUCAUAUCUUUUUCUUUUCAAUUCUAAUAAUGCGGACAUUAAUAAUAUGACAUGCUUGUAGACUUCAUGCUUAGAUCCUAAAAUGCUGUCUAACUUUGAAAUAAUGAAUCAAAAUGCUGAAUAUGACGAAGAUGAGGCUUUUAGGGAAAUAUAUCGAGAAUUAAAACAAUUUAAGAAUAAGCCUAAGCAAAAUUUAAAUGAAACUGAGACAGUUAAUUUGGGCAAUUCAGAAGAGGUCCGAGAAACCAAGAUAAGCAUUCAUGCUGAUGAGAAAACUAUAGAUGCCUUUAUCCAACUUUUGUUUAAAUUCAAAGACGUGUUUGCAUGGUUUUAUGAUGAUAUUCCAGGGUUGAGUGUUAAUUUGGUGGUCCACAAACUGCCUACCUAUCCCGGUUAUCCCCUCGUCCAGCAGAAGCAAAGAAAUUUCAAAAUUGACAUUAGUGAUAAGAUUAAAGAUGAAGUCACAAAACAAUUGAAAAUUGGUGCGAUCCAAGUGGUCCGAUACACUACAUGGCUGGCUAAUGUGGUUCCAGUGCCAAAGAAAGAUGGAAAAACAUGAGUUUGCAUUGAUUACUACCAAGAUCUGAAUAAGGCGAGUCGCAAGGACAACUUUCCAUUGCCUAAUAUCCGCAUUUUUAUUGACAAUUAUGCUAAACACGAGAUACAGUGUUUUGUGGAUUGUUACGCUAGGUAACACUAGGUUCUGAUGGAUGAAGAGGAUGCAUAAAGGACCACUUUCACAAUACCUUGGGGCACUUACUAUUAUAGGGUAAUGCCGUUUGGUUUGGAAAAUGUCGGUGCAGCCUAUAUAAAAGCUAUGACUGCCAUCUUCCAUGACAUGAUACAUCAGGAGAUUGAGGUAUAUGUGGAUGAUGUAAUCAUUAAAUCUAGAACUUAAGAAGACCAUGUGCGAGAUCUGAUGAAAUUCUUUGAGAGGUUGCACACAUAUGAUUUGAAGUUAAACAGCUAAAUGUGCAUUCAGAGUUUCAUUUGGGAAACUUUUGGGGUUUAUAGUCAGUCGGAGGGGCAUCGAAUUAGAUCCGAUUAGAGUCCAUUCAGGAUUUGCCACCUCCGAAGAGCAAGAAAGAGGUCAUGAGUCUGCUAAUGAGAUUGAAUUACAUCAGCAGAUUCAUCACUCAGCUUACCACCACUUGUGAGCCCAUAUUCAAGAUGUUGAAGAAAGAUGCGGCAAUCAAAUAGACAGAUGAGUGUCAAGAAGCUAUUGAUAAAAUCAAAGAAUAUCUAUCAAAUCCAUCAGUGUUGGUUCCGCCCAAGCCAGGAAAGCCUUUGUUCUUGUAUCUGACAGUCCUGGAAAAUUCUUUCGGCUGUGUCUUGGGACAACACAAUGCAACCGAAAAGAGAGAACAAUCCAUAUAUUAUCCGAUCAAGAAGUUCACCAGUUAUGAAGUCAAGAAUACUCUAUUGGAACGAACCUGUUGCGCCCUAACUUGGAUCGCCCAAAAGCUGAGACAUUAUUUGCUGGCUUACACAACAUAUCUCAUAACCAGAAUGGAUCCUUUGAAGUAUAUAUUCCAGAAUCCAAUGCCCACUAGAGGUUAGCAAAUGGCAGAUCUUGUUCACCGAGUUUGAUAUUGUCUAUGUUACUCAUACGGCGAUGAAAGCUCAAGCCUUGGCAGAUCAUCUAACUGAGAACCCGCUCGAUGAUGAAUACCAACUCUUAAGCACUUACUUUCUGGACAAGGAAGUAAACUCGGUUGAAGUGAUCCUAGAGAACAUAAAUUUUAAUUUUCUUUGAUGGGGAUGUAAAUACAAAAGGCGUGAAUUGGGGCAAUUCUGAUCUCGCCCAUAGGUCAACACUAUCCGGCCACAACCCGACUCAGGUUCUUUUGUACAAACAACAUUGCUGCGUAUGAAGCCUACAUAAUGGGUAUGAAUAUGGCGGUUGAUCUGGAUGUACAAGAGUUACUAAUCAUGGUGGAUUCUGAUUUAUUUAUCCAACAAGCCCAAGGCGAGUGGGAAAGUUGGAAUAUCAAAUUCUUCCCGUAUAGGAAACAUGUGGAAGAUCUCAGUAAACGAUUUAAGUGCGUCGAUUUCAAGUAUAUUCCCUGAUUCCACAAUAAGUUAGAGAUACACUAGCUACUUUGGCCUCAAUGCUUCCAUACCCGGGUAAUGCUCAUAUUGACCCAUUGGAAAUUCAGGUUCGAGAAAGGCACGAUUAUUGUAACGCAAUUGAAAUGAAGCCAUAUGGUGAGCCAUGGUAUCAUAAUAUCAAAAGGUUCUUGAAAACAAAAGAAUAUUUCGAGCAGGACAGUAGGGAUCAAAAGAGAACCAUCAGAAGGCUUGUAAGCAUUUUCUUUUUGAGUGGGGAGAUCCUGUAUAAAAGAACUCUAGACCUAAAUCUAUUUAGUUGUGUAGAUUCUCGAGAAGUUGAAAAGAUCAUGAACGAAGUGCAUUCAGGAGUAUGUGGGCCUGAACGGGUAUGUACUUGCUAAGAAAAUACUCCGAGCAGGUUAUUAUUGGAUGACCAUGGCAAAAGAUUAUUUCAGUUUCAUCGGGAAAUGUCAUUAGUGUCAGAUACACAGUGACCUGAUUAAUUCACCGUCUUUGGAUCUGCAUCCUAUGUCAGCACUUUGGCCGUUCGUUGCAUGGGGCAUAGAUGUUAUUGGGCUAAUCGAGUCAAAAGCUUCAAAUGGGUACAUAUUCAUCUUGGUUGCCAUUGAUUAUUUCACAAAGUGGGUCGAAGCAGUCACUUUCAAAGUCGUCACUAAGAAAGAAGUGGUAGACUUCGUGCAUUCCAACAUUAUUUUUCGUUUUGGUAUUCCUAAAACUAUCAUUACGGACAAUACUGCAAAUCUGAACAGCCACUUGAUGAGGGAGGUAUGCGAACAAUUUAAAAUUACGCAUUGUAAUUCUACCCCUUCUCGGCCCAAAGCUAACGGCACCGUUGAAGCUGCAAACAAGAACAUUAAAAAGAUUGCCAAGAAAAUGGUUCAGGGUUCCAGACAGUGGCAUGAAAUGUUCCCUUUUGCACUAUUGGGAUAUCACACAACUAUGUGCACAUCAGUUGGGGCCACCCCCUACUUAUUGGUUUAUGGCACUGAAGCCUUAAUACCUACGAAAGUCAAGAUUCUCUCUCUUCGGGUAAUUAUUGAAGCCGAGAUCGAAGAUGAUGCAUGAGUCAAAACCCAGUUGAAAAAAUUGACUUUGAUUAAUGAAAAGCGAUUGGCCGCAGUUUGCCACGGGCAGUUGUACCAACAAAGAAUGGUCCGUGCCUACAACAAGAAAGUGCGGCCUAGGAAAUUUGAAGUGGGACAACUCGUUCUAAGACGUAUUCUCCCACAUCAUGAAGAAGCUAAAGGAAAAUUUGCUCCAAACUGAAAAGUCCAUACAUUGUAACAAGAGUGCUGCCAAGGGAGCGCUGUAUUUGGGAGACAUAGAAGGAAAUAUUCCCGAGACCGAUGUCAAUGAAGAUACGGACAAAAGGCAUCAUGUUUGACCCUUUAUGCAGUGUUAAUAUUCUCUGAUUGGGAUGACAAAGUCUUUCUUUCUCGUUACCAAAAUACCAUCAACCCUUUGCAAACCCUUAGAGCAGAUUCCCUUUCUUUGAUUACCCUCUUUGGAACCUAAAAGUUAUUAUUGAAAAAAAAAAUCAAAAGAGUUCAUGUUAAUUGAACUACGUUCGACCUGAUUCUGAAAGGAUACGUAAGCAGCCUCACUUUGGGGUUCGGUCAUACCAAAAUAAAAAUCCAUAUUUCCCCAAAAUUGAAAACUGUGGCAGAUAUUACAAUGGUUCGGCGUUGCUUUCGCCUAAAAGGUUCCAAAGUUGUAAUUCAAUCCAAAUUCUUUUUACCCAAAUCCUUUCAAGUCCUUCCGAUCAAUCAACGAGAAUGUUCAAAAAUUGGAGGAUACAAUUACUUGGAUUUGAUGCAACCAAAUGAGAGAAAAAAGAUGAGAGAGUCUUGUUGGUGAAAACUCUCACGGGCAUUGAAAGGCGAUAGUGAGUAGAAAAAUUAAAAAUGAGAGAGUCUUGUUAAUGAAAAUCCUCAAAGGGCAAUAUAGGAUGAUGGUGAGAAGAUAAAUGAGAGAGGUCAGCUGGUGAAACCCCAUAAAGGGCACUACUAAUCAAAAAGAGGUUCCUCACACCCCUGGCAUCAACACAGUCCUAGGCAAGGUUCCUCGGUUUCUAAGUAAAAAUUGGGAUGAAGGGUCAGACUCAUUCUCCAUUCCAUUAUUUGUUAUUCUUUGAAUCUCGUUUGGUCUAACUUUGUUCCAAAAACUAAGGCAAAGAAGAGAUGGCAAGACUGAUUUACCGGGUUCUUGUUCAACACAAGCUGAUAUAUUCCAAAGGAACCCAGCCUCGACAAAGCAUCAAGUCGACCCCGAUUGGCCAUGAUGGACUAGGAAGAAGGAAAUCAAAUUGAAAUGCCUACAAGGGUAAAAUGAAGUUGAAAAGGUUAAGUCCAACGCGACUAACCAUUUGGCAAAAUUUGAAAAGUCAGAUGUUCCCCAAUGCCCUGAAAUUGGAACUUUGAAGAAAGAAGUCAAAGGUUAAAUGCCAACAAAGGCAAAAUAAAGUUGGAAAGGUUAAGUCCUGCUAUGUGACUAGCCGUCCUGGAAAAAGUUUGAAAAGCCAAAGGUUCUCCGGGGGUCAGAAAUGCAAUCGAUAUUCAGGAAACAACUAGUUGCAGUUGAAAUUAUCAUCAAAGAGGCAUGACUUCUCUCUUGGCACACUUUUAUCCAAGGUAGGCUAACUUGCACCAGUGAUGGCAUGAUGGUGGAAACAACCGGCAAUGGCGAGCUCAAUUGUAACUCCGGCGAGCACAGGACAACCAUCGUUCACUCCAUUAAUGUUUGAUAGCUUUCUUCCAACUCAAUUCCAACCAAUUCGAGAGGAAACUGAAAGUGAUUCUGAGAAGGAAUGUAAUAGUGAGAACCAAUGGAUAGUGCAGAUUUAGAUACGGAGAAGGAAAUUCAAAUCGGAAAGAGUCAAUACCAACAAUUCCUCGAAGAUUACAGUUCUCAGAGGCAAGAUCUUCUGUGCAACCUUCCCCAACCUUAGAGCAACAUGCACCAACACCCAAUGGAGAAAACUUGCUAAAUCAACAUGCAAAAGAGCUACGAUAACAAAAUCGCAAUACUCAGAUGGGUAUGCGAUUGGACUAUGUGCCUCCUAGUCAUCGAGAUGGUAAGAUUGUAGUCUAAAUUAUAAAGGAAGAUGUUCAAAAACUAAAUGAUUACUGGGCUACUGCCUUAAUUGGCUAUGUCCUAAGUGAUACUCCAUAUGAGAAAUCUAUGAAGGCGUUUAUUACAUCAGUUUGGGAUUUUGUCUCGAAACCACAAUACUGUAUCACAAUGAUGGAUACUAUCUGUUUAGAUUAUCAACAAUUGAGGACAAAGGUCUAGUGAUGCAAGCACGUCCAUACUCGUACCAUAAUAAGCUAUUUAUUUUAUAAAACUGGGAAAGAGACUUACAUUUUGAUCCUAAAUGCAUUACCACCAUUUCUCUGUGGGUGAAUUUCCCAAGCUUGCCUGUUGGGUAUUGGACUACAGAUGCACUUAGCAAAGUGGCUAUUGCCAUUGGAGCUCCUAUGUAUACUGAUAAAUACACAACUGAUCUCAACAAAAUUUCAUAUGCCAGGGUCUUAGUUAAGGUUUAUAUCACUAAAUCAAUACUAGAGAACAUAGAAAUUGAUACUCCAUCAGGAACUAUUCAGAAACAAAUUGUGUAUGAGUAGAAACCAAAGUUCUGCAGUGACUGUAAUCAUUUUGGCCAUGAUAACUUUGAAUGCUGGAGGAACAAAUAGCAAGACAAUCAGGAGGCAGAAUUUAAAGUUCCUAAAAGAAGGAACAAAGCAAGAAAGAAGAAGAUAGUUCAGGAGUGGAAACCAAAGGAAUAGGUAAACAAAGAUGAUGAAGCAGAUGGGAAAAGAAAGGGAAAUCAGCAAGUAGAAGUUGGUAAUGACAAACAAAAAGCAGUUGAUAUAGACUCUCCAACACAAAUGCUCAGAAGGGAUGAUGAAUGCAGAAUUCAACAUAGACAAAGUGUUGAACUAGAAAAGCAGUCUCGAAAUGAAGAGGGCAUCAAUACAAAUAGAUUCAAGGUUUUGGAAGAGUGUAUGCCAAGCACUUCUCAAGAAAGCUGAGUUUGGCAUUGAUCCUGCACUAAAACCCCCAUGAUUGUGUGCACUUGGAAUAUUAGGGGGCUGAACAAGCCCUAUAAACAGAAGGAGUUGAGUCUCUUUCUGCAAAAGAAUAAAUAGAUAUCCUUGGUUGUCUAGAAACUAGAGUAAAGGAAGGAAAGGCAAAAAAAUAUGUUGAACAGGGUUGCUAGAGAUUGGGGUUAUUGAUGUAACUAUACCCAAGUUGUCAAUGGUAGGAUAUGGCUAAUAUGAAAAACACACCUAAUAGUCACGAUACUCAAAACCCAUGAGCAAUUCAUCCAUUGCUCAGUGGAGGAUCCAGUAACAAAUUUCCCGAUUAUGUUGACAGAAGUCUAUGCUAGGAAUAAAGUGCAGGAAAGGGAAGUUCUAUGGCAUGAAAUGCAGCUGUUAUAAAGUCAAAUUCAAAUACCAUGGCUCAUUAGUGGAGAUUUUAACAAUGUGUUAACCACUGAUGAUAGAAUAGGACAACCAGUUACAGUAGGGGAGGUGCAGAAUUUCAAGCAAUGUAUUAACAGCAUGCAACUAACUCCACUUAGGACAAAGAGAUGUUUUUUCACCUGGUAUAACAAGCAGCAUACAAAUAGUAGAGUAUACAGAAAAAUUGAUUGGCCAUUUGGAAACUUCAGUUGGACUCGGACAUAUGGUCACCUAGAAGUAGAUUUUAUGGACCCUGGAGUAUCUGAUCACUCCCCAAUUGUGAUCCUACUAUGGAAAAGAAAAAUCACUUAUCCCAAGCCAUUCAAACUAUAUAUGGUGACAAUGGAACAUCAAGAGUUCAAACCUAUAGUGAAUAGAGUAUGGCAGCAGCAGGAAAGAAAGGAUCCUAUGUCACUUAUAUGGCUGAAGCUCCAAAGAAUAAAAGAUGAGACAAAAGGGCUAAACAAGUCCAUGGCAGGCUAUGACCAAAAUUGACUCAAGCUAGGCAAAGUUUAGAAUGUGUCCAAGCAGCACUUGUAAUUGAUCCCUUUAAUCAAUUGUUGAUUGAGCAAGAGAAAUAGAAUAUUAGUGAAUUGGAGAAAUGGAGCAUAAUUGAAGAAAGAAUCUUGAGGCAGAAAUCUAGAGCAACAUGGAUUGACUAUGGAGACUCCAAUUCUAAAUAUUUCUAUGCACAACUGAAAAUAAGGGCCAGCAAAAAUGCUAUUACUUCUGUGUACAAUGAAAUGGGAAUGAAGAUCACUGAUCCAAAAGUUGUGGAAAAGAGUUCCUUGUCUUCUUUACAAAGCUAAUGGGGAAGGCAAGUGGACUGAUGCCAUGACCUAACACUAGUAUCAUAAAAGCAGGAAAUUACGUCAACAUGCAGCAUCAAUAGGAACUGAUCAUGGACAUAACACAUGAGGAGAUUGAUGAAGCUAUUAGGGACAUGCCAAAUGAUAAAGCCCCUGGAGUGGAUGGAUUCCCUAUAGAAUUCUUUACUAAGUAAUGGGGGACUGUGAAACAGGAUAUCUAUGAGGCCGUGACAUAUUUCUUUCACACAGGAAAGAUGAUGCCAGCAUGGAACUGUACUACUAUUACUUUGAUCCCUAAAAUUCUAACUCCAACUCAUGUGAAAGAUUAUAGGCCAAUAGCAUGUUGCACUACACUGUAUAAGAUUGUUGCCAAGAUACUGACCAAAAGAAUCAUGAGAGUGAUAGAGGUAAUUAUAGGGAAAUCUCAAUUAGCAUUCAUUGAAGGAAUGAGCAUCAUUGACAAUAUCCUAUUCAACCAUGAACUAUUCAAAGGGUAUAAUAGAAAUGGUAUAUCCCCCAGAUGUGUGAUGAAAGUGGAUAUUAGGAAGGCAUAUGAUUCCUUGGAUUGACAGUUCCUUAGAUUCAUGCUAGCUAACCUUGGCUUCCCUCAAAAAUUUAUCUACUGGGUUAUGGAAUGUGUUACUAUAGUGUCAUACUCAUUGGUGCUCAAUGGAGGCCUCACCAAACCAUUUCUGGCUAAGAGAGGGAUAAGGCAAGGAGACCCCAUGUCUCCUUACCUAUUUUUCAUUGCAAUGUAAUACCUACAAAAAGAGAUGAACCAGCUACCAAUGAUAAAGGAAUUCAAAUAUUACCCAAGAUGUAAAAAGUUGGGAGUGAAUCACAUUUGUUUUGCUGACGACUGACUUAUGUUUUGCAGGGCAGACAUAAAUUCAGUGACUAAAAUGUAGGAAACCUUUCAAAGGUUUUCUACUACAUCUGGCCUUCAGGAAAAUGCAGACAAAAGCUCAAUAUACAUUGCUGGUAUUCAUCAGGAUAUUAGAUACUCAUUGAAAGGAAUAACAGGGAUACAGAGGGAUCAAUACCUUUCAAAUACUUAGGAGUUCCCUUGUCUGCCAAGAAAUUGAACAUUCAACAAUGUCUACUAUUGAUGAAAAGAUCACAGAAAGAGUUAGUUGAUGGUCAGCAAAGAUGCUAUCAUAUUCAGGGAGAGUACAGCUCAUAAAGUCUGUGAUCUUUGGUAUGCAGACUUAUUGGGCUCAAAUAUUCAUACUGCCCAAGAAAAUUAUGAAACUGAUUGAGACUAUCUGUAGAACAUUCCUAUGGACUGGUACAAGUGUUACAUCUAGGAAAGUGCUGAUAGCAUGGGAUAAGGUAUGCCAACCAAAAACUAUUGGGGGUUUAAACAUUAUCAACAUGGAAUUAUGGAACAAAGCAACAAUCAUGAAGCAACUAUGGGCAUUGAUAAAGAAAAAGGAUACAUUAUGGAGCAAAUGGGCUCAUUGCUACUAUAUCAAGCAAAGAGAUGUUGACACUAUGGAUACACCUAAGACAGCUGCUUGGGUGGUCAGGAAGAUUAUAGAUGCAAAACAAGGUUUGAUGCAGAUAAACACAAUGCAAACCAGCCUUAGUGCAAAGCUAACAUCUAUGGAGAUCCAGGGUAGAUUUCAAAUACAUAAAGCAUACACUCAACUGCUACCCCAACUCCCAAAAAUAGGCUGGAAGAGUAUACACUUGCAUCCACAGAUCCAUCCAAGAUUCAAGUUCCAUUUAUGGCUGGUAGUUCGACAGAGGUUAGAUACUGUGGAUAGAUUGCAGAAGUUUUAAAUCCAAGUACCAUUGGAUUGUGCUUUUUGUGCUAGGUACAUAGAAACAUUUAGUCAUCUAUUCUUUGGGUGCUCGUGUACUAGCACAGUAUGGAAUAGAAUACUCAAAUGGUUGGGGCAUAACAAGAGAAUAGGAAGCUGGCAGAAUGAGAUCGAAUGGGUAAGCACUCUAACUAAGAGGAAAGCUGGAAUGACAACUAUUACUACUUCAGCUUUUUGCCAUGGCAGUAUACUACAUUUGGCGUGAAAGGAACUCCAUCAGAUUCAGCAAAGGGAGAUAUGAGGCUGAUGGGAUCUGUAGGAAAAUUGCAAUGCACAUGCAUAUACAGGGGAGAUCAAAUAGCAAAUGGCAGCCAACAUUGCAAAGAUUGAAUCAUUAUCCGUAGGCUAAAGAAGAAUGGCUCAAAUUCUGCUUUGAAGUGUAAUUAGUACAAUCUAAUUUGUAAUUGUAAUUAGGAGUUGAUGGUCAGCAUUAGCCUGACUUUGUAAAGACAAUUUUUGAUGAAAUGAAAAGUCUGUUUUAAUCAACAAAAAAAAAUCAUCAUCAAAGAAGAUGGGCCGAGAUCAAGUGACUGAAACACUAAAGGCUAUAAAACCAACCAUCGUUUCGAACUAACAAUUGUUAUUUGUUGAAAAAUAGGAAACAUCUGCAAUCCAAAGACAGCCUUGCAAGAAGCAGGUGCAAUAAAAAGGAAACCGCGCGGAGACUAAAAAUAGCCAUGCAACAACAAAAACUCUAAAAAAAGUAAGUCUUCUCAAAAUUCUUUCCCGCAUUUUACUCAUUCUCUUAAAAAAAUAAAAAAAAUAACCCAUUCAAAAUCAUGGUAGUAUAGGGUACACCAAUCCGUAGCUGCAUUUUCAAAAAAUUCCCUAGUGUUACACCCCAUGUGAGAGUAUGUCGUAAGCUAAUUAAUGUAAGCCCAGAAAUGAAUCAUCUUUGAAAGUAUAUAAAGUAAUUAAAUAAUAUUACCUUGGAGGUAACAAAUAUAUAAGAUCAUGGAUAACAAGUAUCAAGAGGGUUUGAAGGCUUAGAAGCUAAACAAAUUGAAGAAGAUAAGUUUCGUCGAGAGUCAACAAGUUGAAAAUGUUAUAAAUGUACUUUUAGGGUGAUACUAGGGUGAUUAACAUGACAAGGAGGUUAUUUUAUGAGUUAUUUUAGUCAUAUAAUAGCCGAGUAUUAUUUUUUGAAGUCAAUCAAGUUGUGGAAGAAAAUUUGGCAAAGGUCAUCACAAGUUAGAUUCAUAAAUAUGCUGAAAAUUAGGUCAAAUGUAGCGGAGCUUUUCUCUCAAUAUAUUUAGAAUUACGAGAUAGUUCAUCUACCAAAUUGAAUAUAUACGAGUCUAGUUUCUAACGCAAUAAACUGUUUGUUGAUAAGACAUUAGAGUAGAGAGAUAUUCGCAUUUUCGUGAGACUACUCAAGCAGCUCCCAAUGGGACCCACUUAGGUGGUGGUCGACCUACUUCACUUUAAAAACGAUUUGGACGACCUUUAUUUCUCAUUUUUCGACCCACCUCAUUUCUACACUCCUCCUAAUCCUCCAAAACAUAUACCAUAAGGGUUUGAAGUGAUUACACCAUAUUUCAACAUCAAAAAUUAGUUCUAGUGCAUAAUAACACCUCUUUGAGGUUGUGUUGUCAUUGAGGAUAAUUGUGGAUUGUGUUUGGAUGAAAUUUCAAGUUUUUGCUACGGGAUAAAGUGAGUAUAAUAACCUUCUAAUUAUUCUUAAGCUUGCUUGUAUGUUGGUUAAAUUUUUAGGAUGAUAAACUACAAGAUAAUACUUGGAUUAGCUUGAGAUGUUGUUGUUCUUGAUGGAUUGAUUUGAAAGUUGCUCUUAUGAACUUUAAGUGGCUGGAAAUUAUAGAAAAUAAGUUGGAUAUGAUAUUGUUAGUAUGAUUUUGUUGGUUUACAUGUCAAUCUUAUUGAGGAAAUUGGUAACUAGAAAAGGAAAUGGCUAUAAAGCACUUGGAAGUUGUCCGCAGUGAUAUUAUCUUGUGUUGGGCCAUUUCGGGUAUCUUUAAAAUUGAGUACAAGGACGAAAAUCCUUUAAAAGUUAUUGGUUAUUAUACUAGAUAUAUUACUAAUUUAAAAUAGGGUUGAAGGAUGUUAAAGGGAUUCAAUCCGAGCUUGUCGUGAUAUGUUGAUGACUUGUUAAUGAAAUAUUUUGUACCAUAUUAUUGAUGUUGUUAUUAUUGUAUUUCUAUGUUUGUUGUUAUUGGUAUAUAGUAUUGGAGGAGGACCUUGUUAUAGGGGAGAUGAUGCCUAAAUUUACAUAAACAAGCUACUAGUUUAAGUUGCGGACUUAGCCUUUACUCAACACUGAUUUUGAAUCACUUUAUGCUAUGGUAAAUUGAGUUGAGUUGUUUGAAGAAUUGCUUGGAAGGUAUUAAGGACUCAACGGAGUUAAGUUAUGUUAAGGCUAUCCCUUCUUUCCUUUUGGGCAUGAUCCAUAUGAUACAACAAAAUUAGCAAACACACAACUUUCACAAAUAACUCUAUUCUUAGAAGUACUAGGGUUGCAUAUGUUCUUGAUUCAGCAUAUGUCCUAUUAUCAUAUCAUCUGUUAAUGGGUCUCAAAAAAUAUGUAAGUUGAUAAAGUUUAGUUGUGAUAUUAAUUGAAGGCAUAUUGAUCUUAUGACCUUCCAAGAGAUCAUAUUGACUUACUUUAUUAGGCAUUGCAUUCACUUAUACAUGUAUAUUGACCCAUGACCAAAUGAAGUUAUAUACGUGUAUAUAAUAUAUGUAUAUGGGGUAUGAAAAAAGGUUAUGGCAUUAUAUAUGCACCGCCACCUGAUCAGCUAGCAUAUGUUGAUAAUUUUGCUUGCUGAGGCUGAGAUGAUAUGAUGGGAUUCCCUUAGAGGCUUGAUGAUGUUAUGUACGCAUAUACCUAUGCAUGAUAUGACAUUUAUACGCAUAUGCAUGACAUCAUAAAUGUUUCAUGAUUCACAGAGCUAUUCAGACUUACAGGUUGAUUCCUUAACUCUAUGUUUCUUUCAUGUCUUUUAUAUACUGAUUUUUAUGCCUUAUAUACUCAAUACAUUAUUCGUAUUGACGUCCCUUUUGCUGAGGACGCUGCAUUUCUUGCCUGCAGGCCCUGAUAGACAGCUGGGUAGACCUUCCCAGUAGACAGAGUCAAACAUCAGCUUGGUUAGUAAGCUCCACUUCUUCAGAGUUACCAGGCCUGGACCUUGGAGUCCAUUAUAUAUAUACAGGUUUGAUGGGUAGGUCGAGGCCCUGUCCCGACCAUGAUACAGUUCAGUUAUCUCUAAAGGCUUGUAGUAUUGUGACCUUGCUAGCCUUGUGUACAUGUUAGUUUGGUAUUGCUGGUUGUAGAAAUUCAUGGUGGCCUCAUCAUUCUUGAUUAGUAUUGUCAGCUUGCAGGUAGGCCUCGUCGGCCUAAGUUGAGGGUUACCCCUCUAGAGUUUACAGUUACAGAGUGGUACGCUCAGGCCAAAUAUGGAACCGGAUGUCGGCCAUGCCUCCCCAAGUUUGGGGACAACUAGUCUUCUUACUAGUAUAGGGUACACCAAUCCCUGAUUGUAUUUUUCCAACAUAAGGUACACUACUUCCUAGUUGAGUUGAGCUUAAACGCAGGGUACACCACUCCCUGAUAUCUUUAUUGAUAGAACUUAAAUGCAAGGUACACACUCCCUCAUAUCAUUCCUAGACAUAGGGUAUACCACUCCCUAGUUUCCUUACCAAUAUAGGGUACAACAAUCCCUAGCUGUGUUUUCCAGCAUAGGGUACAUCUCUCCGUAGUUGAUGAUAGUUUAGACAUAGGGUACACCAUCUCCUAGCCUCCUUACCAGUAUAGGGUACACCAAUCCCUAGCUGUAUUUUCCAGCUUAGACUACACCACUCCCUAAUUGAUGAUAUUUUAGACAUAGGUUACACCACUCCCUAGUCUCCUUACCAGUAUAGUGUACACCAAUCCCUACCCGUGUUUUCUAACAUAGGGUACACCACUCCCUAGUUGAUGAUGGUUGGACAUAGGGUACACCACUCCCUAGUAUUCAUACCAGUAUAGGGUACACCAAUCCUUAGUUAUGUCUUCCAAUGUAGGGUACACCACUCCCUAAUUGAUUGAGCUUAAAUGCAGGGUACACUACUCCCUAAUAUUAUUACCAAUUGAUCUUAAAUGCAGGGUACACCACAUCCUGAUAUCUUUAUUGAUAGAGCUGAAAUGCAGGGUACACUAUUCCCUAAUAUCAUUACCAAUUGAUCUAAAAUGUACACCACUCCUUGAUAUCUUUAUUGAUAGAGCUAAAAAAUAGGGUACACCAUUCCCUGAUAUCAUUCCUAAACAUAAGGUACACCACUCUCUAGUCUUCUUGCCAGUAUAGGGUAUAUUAGUCCCUAGCUAUAUUUUCCAAUGUAGGGUACACCACUUCAUAGUUGAUGAUAUUUUAAAUAUAGGGUACACCACCCCCUAGUAUCCUCACCAGUAUAGGGUACAUUGAUCCCUAUAUAUGUCUUCCAACAUUGGGUACAACUCUCCCUAGUUGAGUUGAGCUUAAACACAGGGUACGCCACUCCCUGAAAUCAUUACCAAUUGAUCUUAAAUGCAGGGUAAACCACUGCAUGAUAUCAUUACUAUUUGAUUAAGUUGAAAUGCAGGGUAUACCACUCCCUAAUAUCAUUCCAAAUAUAGGGUACACCGUUCCCUAGUUUUUACCAGUAUAGGGUACAUCAAUCCCUAGUUGUAUUGUCCAACAUAUGGUACACCACUCUCUAGUUGGUUUGAUCUUAAGUGCAGGGUACACCACUCCCUAAUAUCUUUGCCAAUAUAGGGUAUAUCAUUCUCCGACCAUAUUUUUCCAACAUAAAGUACAACAAUCCUUAGUUGAAACUUCAUUUUAAUAAUAAAGGAACACCAUCCCAAUAAAUAAAAGAAAUCACGAUCUUUUCAGGGUACACCAUUCCCGAAACUUCACUGUUUUUUUUUUUGAAAAAAAGAAGUAGUUUAGAAUUUUUGUUACAAUAACUCAUGAAGUUAUCCUAGUGAAAACUAGGGCAGAAAUAUUUCGUUCAUUUGUUUGGUUCUGGGGCCUGUGCAGGUUUUUACCUUGAGACACAAGGUUCGAGAUGACUAAAAAAAGAUUACUCAAUACAGAAUAAAGAAAAUAAAAAGUAGUGAAUCCAAAAUGCAGGAGCAGAUGAAAAAGAUGAGGACUACUCAAGGCAUGACUGAAGUCACGAGCAUUGUAGUUUCCCUUUAGAUAAGAAGAAGCCGUAGAAGAAUGAACUAGCACCUGCAGCUAGCAAGCAUCAAGGUUCAGAUCAGAGUAUGCAUGAAGAACCAAUCAAGACUCAAGAUCAAGUUUCAGAAGACUUACAGAUAGGAAUCUUGUAACUCAUAGCUGAUAGGAUUAUUUAGUUUCUUUUGAUUUUGAUUUUGGUGUAAUAAGGAGUUCAGCAAGCAGUAAUAGCAGCGACAACAAUGAAAUCACAGCUUUUCGGUAGUCCCAGCUACCAGAACUACACUGACCUAGUUCCUUUAUAGCCAAAGAUAUGUAGGAAACCUCGGAAGUAAGGUUCGGUCAAACUCUUUCAAAAAUGCUUCCCAUGGAGUAUUAAAUGGGCAACAAUUAUUCAUAAUUGCUCACUUUAUCUUUGCCCAAAAAUUCUUCAUAUCUCAAGCAAAGAGGAGCAGAUGUGAGCACGCAAUUUUUGCCCGAUGACAAAUUUGCUCCUUAAAUAUUCUGAAUAGCUUUUAAUUACUUUAUAGAAUUUUAGGAAUUUUCUUCUAUUUUUAUUUAAUUUGUAUCCCAUUUAUUUGCAUUUUCUUAGGCAUAAUUAGUAAUACCUUAAAUCAAAAUGUCAAAAUUAUUUUAGUUUUCAUUUUCGUUUCGCUGCAUCUUAGCACUUAAUUGCAUAUAGCCGCAUUUCAAAAAAAAAACACAUAAAAACAAUGCAUUAAUUAUUUUCAUAUCUCUGCACUUUUUAUUUUGAUUAUUUAGUUUAACCCUUUGGUUCACAAUGUUAUAUCAAGUAAUUUGUUUUAGUAGGCUAGUUGUGCAAUGUGAGUCUUGAUUAGGAUAAGUUAAUGUUGAAAAUUAAAAGAAAGGAAAGAAAGAGGCUAUUUGGUCUUGUAUUGAAAUUGGGCCAAACAUUCAAAGACAGCCCAAUUGCGUCUCGGAUCCGUCCAAGCCCCACAACCUAGCGGUCCAACCCCAAUACUAAACCCAAACGACCUCGUUUUGGACUCCAGUUGAUCUCCACCGUUCAUCAGCCUAGAUCCAACGGCUCGCAACUGAUCACUCAAAUCAUAUAUUACUGUUUGAAAUGCCCCCCAAUCCCCCCAAAGACCUCACAGACCGUCUCUCUCACCCUCCAUCGUCUUUGCCGCCGGAAAUUGCCCCACGACGGCGGGCAGACCCCAAACGACCCCACAAUCCCCACCUCCUUCUCAUUACAUAUCGCUUUGUUAUUUCCUUAAAAACCCUCCAGAAUCUCUCAAUUACUGGAUCUAAGAAAUUCUAAAAACCUAAAUCCACCCCUUUUUAUUUUUUCUCAAAUCCUGGCGUGUUUGGGCUUAAAACCAACACCAAUCGACUUCUCUCAUUGAGUUUUACAAAUUGGCAUUAUUUUGUCUCGUUUCAAGAUCGCCGGCUACCGGUCAACUCACUAUUGACAGGCCAGAAUUUCUGAAAUUCCUCUGUGGUUGAUCUUUUUGGUUGAAUUAUGGCUAACAUCAUCGCAUACAUCAUUAGUUACGCCCUCAAGCGUAAGCCAGUGCUCGUGUGGCGAUGUCGGCUAUCGUCCAGAAUUCUUUUCUCUUCAGCCAACAGUGCUUCACAUAGUAAUCAUCUACUUCUUUUCUUCCUUCCUUGAAGUUGCUAAUUCUAUGUCUUAGUUAUUAAUUAUUAGUUCAUUUUCAAUUUUGGUUUGACAACAUACAUAGGUUAAUUAUUAAUCACUAAUAAAUUUAUUUUAACUUUGUAAGUAGUUAUUUGCUUAAUCUGAAGUUUAGAUAGUUUUGGUCUUAAAUGGCAUAUCUGUUUAAUCAAUACGUUAAUUAGCUUGUGAUUCCUGAUGAGUUAUGUUUGUUAGGCUUUGUUAGUUUAAGUUUAGUUAAUUCUUUAUUUAAUGCUGUUAAGAGAAGGAAGGCAGUAAUUUUGGUUAGAAGAUAGUAAGUGUUGAGGUUAAAGGAAAAGGUUAAAAGAAGGGUUAUUAACUAAAACUUGAUGGGUCUAAAAGAAAUAGAAAACUUGGAGAAUCUUGGGUGUAACUGACUUGGAAUCUUCUAGAAUAGGGCAGUAAGGGUUGGAAAGCAAUAAAACAGUAAAAAUUAGGUCAAAAAUGGACUUAAGGGUUAAAAUACAAAAAGUAAAAGGGGCUGCAAAGAAAGAGAGAUAACAUAAUACAACUGUGGGAAUAUUCUAUAUAACAGACUCUCUGACAUUCUGCAGCCUCACGCAAUUCACUCCCUAUUUUUUUCGUUUUACUCUCAUGCUCAUCUGCAGACAUCUUUCACCAAUUUCUCUCAUAUUCACUCUCCCUUCACUUAUUCAUACAAAAUUCACUCAUUCACCUCAUCAUACUCAGAAACGCACACUCGUUUACAUACACUUAGAGACCUCUAAAAACAGAUUUGAAAAAUACAAAAGCAGUGAAGUUUUAGGUCGAUUUAUAUACUCAAAAACAUUUGGUUUGUGUUUGUUGAUUAGAAGAGAUCUCCUACAUGUGUAUCCUGGGUUUCAAGCUGUUUAAUUAGUAAUUGAAGUUGUCUUCUACUGUUUCUCUGUCAAUUAGUAGCCGAGCUUCAGUUUGUAGCUGCUCUCUGCCUUUAUUUGGCUAUUUUAAUAUGUAUUUGCUGAUGUCGAUUGCUGAAACUUUGCUGAUCUCUGUUCAAGUUUGUUUUUGGCCUUUGUUUGGUCUUUUCCUAGUGCUCUAUAGCCCUGAAUUGGUAAGUCCAAACACUCAUGAAUUCAUGUCUUCCCUUGAAUGAAAAGCUUUUGAUUUUUAUGAAAUUUUGGAUUGAUCUAUUGAAUUCUCAUGUGAGCAUAACAACACGAACUGAUUUGCAUUCAUUGUUUGCUAUAUAACGUGAGAAAUAGACAUAAAAGUAGAUUGUGAAACUAUGCUCUGUUAAUCUCUGUACUGAUUCUCUUAUCUCAUAAUUUGAUUAAACAUGAAUUCUAGACUCGACACAUUUAUUAUAUUUCGUUCUAGUGAUUUUCUGUAGUAAUUCAUAACGAGAAAAGACCACUGUUGCAGCAGAUAUGGCGGUCGUUCAUGGAUUUGGCCAUUAAUUGGUCAAAUUUGUAAACCUCAAAGUCAAAAUAUUUUUUCAGAAGUGUUUGGAGCCAUUGUAUUUCUCAAAUAGAAGUAUAAAUUUUCAUGUUGGGACUAUAAUAUGAUUUUUGGGCAUGAGUAUAUUAUAUUAUGUAACAUAGUUAAAGUAGAUGUUGAAAUCUGCUCAAUUCAGGACGUGAGCACAAGCAUAAAUGUAAGGAUAAUUAUUGUAGUUGAUUUUUAUUAUGUUUGGAACUAGCGUUAAAUUCUUUCAAUUUAGAAUAACAGCUGUUUAAAACCAGUUGCUAUAACUGUAAUAAGAGUAAUGUUUCAACUCUAUUAGGGCUAUGGGCCUGAGGUUAAGAGAUCUGGAGCCCAAUAUGGGUUGUGACAAUUCACUGGUGUAAAGGGACUGGGUGGGCCUGCCACUAUUCAGGCGCAAGCCUAAGGUCACAUGGGACGGAGGCUUCAUUAAAGCCUACUUCAUUAUUUAUCCUAGCACACCAAUACUAGUAAUUUUAAAUACUGUAACUUUGCUAUUAUGUGUUUUCCUUUGGAUUUGAACACACUUGCUUGAAAUUAUCUCAUCGUCUGCCAUCCUACAUGCCAAAUUCAUAAAGCUGAGCACUGUUGUCUCAUGACCUCUAAUACGUUUGCCAACAGAUUCUCGCACACACGAGACAUUUGAAAUUACUUAGUUAUUCAACUUACAGUUUCUUUUACAAAGCAUGGUCCCAUAAUCUUUUGACCUUGCACAAUAAUCCCAAAUUAAUGUAGAACAAUUAACUCAUGAACAUUCGUAGGAUGCUUUAGGCGCGUUUAAUCUAUUAUUGUGAUUGUGUACACAUUCGCGUGACAUAGUUAUAAUUUUCAAAAUAAAUCAAGGUACGCAUUCGCGCGACUUUGACCAAACAAUCUUAACAAAUAAAUAAAGUGUUAUUAAUUGUGUACACGUACGCGUGAAAUAAUUUUUAGCGCAUUAAAUAAAGACGGAUUCAUACACAUGUGAUUUGUUUUAAGAUAAUUUCAUAACGCUAUAAUUAAAAACGGUAAAAAGUAAAACACAUAUAGGUUCUAAAAUACGUAAUUAAUAAUUAAUUAAACCAAGUUAUGAUUAUAAAGCGACUGCGCUAAAAUCGCAAAAUUCGGGAAUGUCUAACACCUUCUCCCGGGUUAACAAAAUUUCUUACUCGGUCUUCUGUGUUUUGUAGACUUUAAACAGAGUCAAAUUUCCUUGAUGUGGAAUUUUAAAAUAAAUUGGUGACUUGGGACACUAUAAUAAAUUAUUCCAAAUGGCGACUCUUAAAAAUAAAAUAAAUCAAUCCCAUUUCAAAUAAUGUCACUUAAAUUGGAAAAUUUUCUUUCCCCGUAAAAAGGAGCUAUGACAGCCAUUGCCAAAUCUGUUCGCCUACUUCCUCUUCGCUUUAGAAAGUCCACAAUCGCCACUAAAAAUGGCUGCUACGAUGGUUGCCUUGAUGGAAAAGGAAGAGACAUUUGAGGGAGAAGAGAGAGGAUUGAGAAUUUUGCUGAUAGAGAGAGAAGGAAGAGACAGCAAGAAUAUAACUGGCGUAUUUCAUGCCUCAGUGGUGAGAUAUAAAAUAAAUACCUAUUUUGCUAUAAAAUAGAAAAUGUAGCUAUAAGUAAUAAUAUUUUUAAAAUUAUUUUGGUUAAUAAUAAACAGGGUGUAAUAGUUUUUCAUAGGAGAUAAAAUUUCCUACUAAUAACAGUUGGAAAUAAUAAGUAAGUAUAGAUCUGUCUGUAGACAACAAAUUGCGUCGAGAAAAUAAAAUCAAGACCGAAAAUAUUGCAACAAUCAUAGUAUUUUAUUUUGAAUAUUUGAGUGUUACAAUCUCUAUGGAUCCUCUGAUUCUUCUUUCCAAUUGUAAAUAAAUUCAAGAGCCUUUGAGCUUGAUCUUGAAUCUAUGUUUGUUGCCACGAACGAUGUUCUUGAAUUCAACUAGCACGAACUUUGAUUUGAACUCGCACUCCUUGAACCUUGAUUUGUUCUUCGUUCUUGAGCUUGAACUUGGUUUGUUCUUCGUUCUUGAGCUUGGACUUGAUUUGUUCUUCGUUCUUGAGCUUGGACUUGAUUUGUUGAACUUGAACUUGAUUGCUUGAAGCUCGAAACUUGGAGGAAUUUGCGGUGUUUGAUCCACGAGCUCUCUCUUGCUUCUUGUUAUAACUUCUGGUGUCUUUUCUGGGUUAUGAAGACCCCUAUUUAUAGUUGUGGAAGGGAAGAGUCAUGAUAAGAACAAAUUCUUUCCGACCAAUCAAAUUGAAGUGUGACAUGGCCGCAUUUGAUUGGCCAGAACAUGUCACUUGCACACGUGGCGCGAUUUCAUUGGCCUUUUAGUGUGACUUGGCAUGCCUUGUCAUUUUGACACGUGGCAUGAUCCUAUUGGAUCUUCCGUUUGACUUAGCGCGUCAUGUCAUUUGACACGUGACACUAAACUGGACCUCUAGAAAGAUGUCAUCUUUGGCUUAAUGAAGUGGGUUCAUUACUUUAGCCCAAUUAAAUGGGCUAGCUCAAUGAAUUAAGAUUUAUUUAUUUAAUCCAUAUAUAUUGGACUUAUAUAAUUAAUUUAAUUAUAUUAGCUGGACUAAUAUAUUUAAAAUGGCCCAAAUUAUUUUAUUGAAUUUAUAUUCAAUAAAAUUUACAUGCCUACAAAUGCCCCUACUUCAAGACUUGUCAAGAUGUAAACUUUAAAUACUAGGCUUAGAAGUAUCUACAAAGGUAAUUGGUAUUUCAAGGAUUCAUUUACGGACGCCUUCAUCAAAUUUUAGCUAGAAAUUCCUCAAAGAAUUGACUUAUAUUGUUUCGUUAAAGGACACGCUUACUACUGGACCAAUUACCUUAUUAAGUUUACUGCUUUUGAAGUAGCACCUUGAAAUUUGAACUAUCUCAAAGUAAUUACUCAUUUAAUCACCAUGAGGUCAGUGAGUCUGCAUCCCUUUUUUUCCACAUGAGAUUCCUUUUCAAUUAGCAUUCCAUGUUAUAUGAUGAAAUCAGAAAAUAUUAGGAGACCUUCUGACACAGUACGCCAAAUGCUGUGUAUGAGAAAGACAUGUUCUUUUCCUCUCCGUCUCUAAUUAGGACACCAUCACCGACGUUGCUCAAUCAUCUUAGGAGACAACCAAGCAUGCUUGAUAUCCUUUCCUUAUUAGAAAUUGUUACUACCGUAUUACAAUUGAUCCCACAUCGGAGGAAGAUUUUUGACGCGACCUUUCAUAAUCUAUAAACCAUACGUCCUUAUUACAUUAGUACCAAUUUCAGUACCAAUUUUAGUGUUUGCAAAUUGCUUUGAAUCUACUUUUGACGACUUGAAGGCAUUGAUGCGAAGGUAAUUUCUUCUUCUUUUCUUGUGCUGUCUUCUUUUGUCAUUUUUUUUUGUAGGUCAAACAAGAAGGGUCGUCAAGUACUAAGUCGACGAGCAACUCCAUGACGUCCCAUCGAAGGAUAAAUCCGCAACAACUUAUAGACGGUUAAAUCCACAACAAUUUGUAGACGGGCGAAUCUUGCAACAACUCAUAGACAAAUCAAUUUGCAAUAACUUAUAGACGGAUAAAUCCAUAACAACUUAUAGAUGGAUAAAUCUCCAUCAUCAUAUAGACGGACAAAUCCACAUCAACAUAUAUGGACAAAUCCACAUCAACAUAUAGACGGACAAAUUCACAUCAACAUAUAGACGGAAAAAUCCACAUCAACGUAUAGACGGACAAAUUUCCAUCACCAUAUAGAUGGACAAAUUCACAUCAACAUAUAGACGAACCAAUCCACAUAAAUAUUUAUGGACGGACAAAUCCACAUCAACAUAUAGACGGACAUAUCCACCUCAAUAUAUAGACGGACAAAUCCGCAUCAACAUAUAGAUGGACAAAUCCGCAUCAACAUAUAGAUGGACAAAUCUGCAUCAACAUAUAGACGGACAAACCCACAUCACCAUAUAGACGGAUAAAUCCUCAUCACCAUAUAGAUGGACAAAUCCGUGAAGAGACCAAGGUGCAAAGGGGCUUAUAUGUCCACCUUAAGAUUGGAAAGUUAUAAAGCUUCAACUCGAAGACUUCAUGGACUUAACGACGUCGACUUGAACACUUGGAAAACUUUGAAGAUUUAGCGGACUUUGCAGACUUCAACUUGAAGACUACCAAACUUGAAGAUUCGGCGGACUUUGAUGUUUCAAUCUGAAAAAUUUGAGGGCUCAAAUACUUCCACUUGAAGACCAACGAGUUUGAAGACCUCAACUUGAAGACUUCAACUUGGAGACCUGGAGGGCUUAGAUAUCUCAACUUGAAGGGUGGCGAACGUGAAGACUUUAACUUAAAGACCGACGGACUUGAAGAUUUCAACUUGGAGACUUCGAGGGCUUAAACAACUCAACUUGAAUUCUGGUGAACUUAAGGACUUCAACUUGAAGGCCGAUGGACUUGGAGGGCUUGAAUACUUCAACUUAAAGACUGCGGAUUUGCAGACUUCAACUUGAAGACAAAAAUUUUGAAGGUUUGGCAAAUUUGAAGGCAUGACGAAUCACCAGGCUUCAUUGCAAAUACUUGGUAGCCUCCUAAAAGACUAUAAUUAUUCCAUUGAAGACACCAAUUUACCAUGGAAGCUUGCCCCUUUUAAAUCAAAUGAGAUCAAUGUUUAACAGGAGGAUGGCGUUUCAGCUUGAUUUUACAUUUCUCCAUACUUCACUUGGACAACAAUUGGGGCAAUAUGUAUCUUUUGAACUUAUGCGACUGAACUUAGAAUGAAACUCUAAGCUGCCUACGUACCUCGGUGAAGAGGAUCAAGUCAUAUCGUAGUUCAGACUGGGUGAUUUUUUUUAUGUCCUAACUUUUGCCUAGGCCGCCUCUUUCGAAGUUUUCAACCUAGUGGAUUCUUUUUUUUUGUAGGGGCCAUACACAGUUUAGACUCAUGCAGUCCAGGAGUGUAGCAAUAUACAGUUUAGGUUCAUGCGUCAAAGAGCGUCAUGACUUGCAGUUUAGGCUCGUACGUCGAGGAGCGUCGCAAUUUCAAGGAUAAUACUUCUUUAAGAAUUUGCCAUAGAUAUGGCGAUUCUCAUACCAUCUGCAUCAACCAACUUGUAAGUCCCACUUGAGUAAGCUUCUUGUACGAUGUAUAGCCCAUCCCAUUUUGAAGUGAACUUCCUUACAGGUUUAUGGGAAGUAAUUAUGGGUCUUCGUACGGUAAGGACUUGAUCUCCUACUUGAAAGGAUCUCGGGCGAACUCUUUUAUUGAAGGCGCGAGAUAAUCGAGCUUGAUAACAUUCAAGACUCUGUUGAGCUUCCAACCUCUUCUUAUCAAGAGCCUCCAACUCUGCUAACCGAAGUCGAGCAUUUUCUUCAUCAGUGAUCCCUUCUUGAAUAGCUAGUCGUAACGAAGGUAUUUGACGCUCAAGUGGCAAGACGACUUUGACUCCAUAAAUGAGUAAAUAAGGAGUCGCCUGUGUUGGAGUACGGUGAGUCGCCCUAUAUGCCCAUAGAGCUUCUUUCAUACGGUCAUUCCAAUCUCGUUUGGAUUUGGAGACGACUUUCUUUAACAAGUUGCAUAGAGUCUUGUUGAAUGCCUCAGCUAGACCAUUGGCGACAGCAUUGUACAUCGAAGAGUUACGUUGCUUGAAGCCAACGAGAUCACAAAUCUUGUUCAUCAACCUAUUAUGGCUUUCCAUUAUCCGUUAUUAUGUAACGAGGAAUGCCAAAGCGAUAAAUAAUGUUUACUCGGAUGAAACUUGCAACAUUUUCCUUCUUUACUUCCUUAAGAGCAACAACUUCAACCCAUUUUGAGAAGUAGUCAGUUGUAGCCAAGAUGUAUAGGUGCCCACCAGAGGACUUUGGCAGUGGUCCAACAACAUCCAAUCCCCAAGCGUCAAAUGGCCAGGAUGCAACAGUCGGGUGCAACACUUCAGGAGGUUGAUGAAUAAAAUUCGCAUGGAAUUGACAAGCCUUUCAUCUUCGAGCAUAAUCCUAAUCUUUUACCAUCGUUGGCCAAUAGUAUCCCAUCCUUUUUAUAUGGAAAUGAAGCUUUUGGUCCAGACUGGUGUGACCCACAUACCCCAGAAUGCGCUUCUUGUAAAGCUUGGAGUACUUUAUCUUCCCCUAAGCAUCAUAAUAGUACUCCCUCGAAUGAUCUUCUGUAUAGAGUAUCUUUGUAGUAAAGGAAGUGAGGUGCACGACGACGGAUUUCAGUCCUUCUUCGCUGAUUUUCUAGAAGCAUACCAUAGCACAAGUAGUCGAUAAUGGGUUGCCACCAUUCUUCUUUAUCAACUUCAGAAACAGCGACGAGAUGCUUGAGUUCGUUUUCUUCACCUUCAGCCUCAUUUGGCAGCGGUGCUAUCCAUUUUUGGCAGAUAGUAACUUGCACUUGAUCAAGCAGGAUUAACGAUGAAGCUAGGGCAGCUAAAGUAUCCACCUUCUUAUUUUCUUUCCUUGGCACAUGUUGAAUAGUCACAUCACCGAGCCACCCCAUUAAUUUUUUAGCGUAAUCAUGAUAUGGGCAUAGUUCAGGUUUCUUGAUCUCGAAACUACCUAAAAGCUGAUUGACCACUAACUGAGAGUCACCAAAGACUUGCAAUUGCAACCGCUUCAUUUCGACAGCCAUUUCGAGCCCAUGUAUUAGUGCUUGAUACUCAGCAAUGUUGUUAGAGAAAAGUUGCGUCAACGUAAAAGAGUAGGGUAGAACUUCACCUUGAGAAGUGACAAAUACUACACCAGUACCAGCUCCUCCGCGAUGUACAGCACCGUCAAAGUAUAUCUUCCAUAGAGGUUGAACUUCGAUGACCAUGGCGUCCUCAUCAAGUAGUUUGUCAGUUAGCUCCCAAUCAUCAGGUAUAGGAUGAUCUGCCAAGAAGUCCUCUAAUGCUUGUCUUUUUAUAACCUUUUGAGGAAUGUAUACGAUUUCAAAUUGUUGAAACUGGAGGUACCAUCUUGCUAGUCGAUACUAAGGACAGGUUUUGACAUCACGAACUUGAUGGGAUUUGCUCUAGAAACCAAACGAACGAGCUUGAAAGUAGUGCUUCAACUUAUGGAUUGAGAAGACUAGCGCCAAACAUAACUUUUCAAUUGGUGAAUAAUUCAGCUCAUUUGGUGUCAUCAUCCUGCUCAAGUAGUAAGGGGAGUUUUCUUUUCCUUCACUAUUUUCUUGGGCCAGUAGAGCUCCAACAGACCUUUCUUGUGCUGAAAUGUAUAGUAUCAGCGGCUUUCCAAGUAUAGGGGCUACCAAAACUGGAGGCUUCAUCAAGUAGGAUUUAAUGCUCUCAAAGGCAUUACUACACGUUUGGUCCCAUUUGAAAGGGACACCUUUCUUCAUAAGGUGACUGAAUGGUUGGCACCUCCUAGCUAUGUUUUAGAUGAAUCUUCUAAGGUAUGCUAGCUUUCCUUGUAGACUUUUUAAUUCAUGAAUAUUGCGGGGCUCGGGCAUUUUCAAAAUGGCGUCCACUUUGGCUUGAUCAAUUUCGAUCCCUUGAUGUCGGACAAUGAAACCAAGGAACUUUCCGAAAGUAACUCCAAAGGCGCAUUUCAAUGGAUUCAUCCUAAGUUGGUACCUCCGGAGAAACUCAAACAUCAUUCUCAAGUCUUUCAAGUGGUCGCCCCUCUUUCUGAUUUUACCACCAAGUCGUCCAUAUAGCAUUUGACAUUCUUAUGGAGAAGGUCAUCAAAGUUAUUCUACAUAGCUCUUUGGUAAGUAACACCAGCAUUCUUCAAGCCAAAAGGCAUUACCUUGUAGCAAUAAAUACCUUUGGGGGUACGGAAUGCAAUAAGCUCUUCAUCUUUUGGCGCCAUGUAGAUUUGGUUAUAUCCUGAUGAACCGUUCAUAAAUGACAUUACCUCAUACCCAGUAGUAGUAUCGAUCAUCUGCUCUGGAAUAGGAAGUGGGGAUUCAUAUUUUGGACACGCAUUGUUGAGAUCCCUGAAGUCAACGCACACUCGAAUCUGGCCAUUUUUCUCCUUAUAGGGACAAUAGUUNNNNNNNNNNNNNNNNCAAGGGAACCAAGUCCGGCCUAAAGCACUUUUGGGCUUGUUUGACAGGACGAGCACCAUUCUUGACGGCAAGGUGAUGGACUGCUACUUUAGGGUCCAAACCAAGCAUUUCUUUGUAACUCCAAGCGAAGACAUCCCUAAACUCCUUGAGUAACUCAAUAUAAGUGCUUUCUUCAUAAACUUCUAGUAAAGCACUUAGGUAGGUGGGUCUUGGUUCUUCAUCAGUGCCAAGGUUAACUUCUAUUAAGGUAUCAAUCGUCGCAUUCACCCCUUCUUCAAGUUUUGGAGGAGCAUCUUUUGCAUCUUCAUCUUCUUGAGGGUCCCCAUCGUUGAAGGAUAUGUGAUAACAUAGUGAAACAUCGUCCAAUUUCUCGUCAUCCUCCAUUAGAGAUAAAACACCAUGCUGGCCUUGUGCAGUAACAUGAUACGAAGAACCCAUACUUUCUUCGUCUUCAUCAUGUUCUUUAGUGUAGACCGCAGUGUAUGGCUUCACCUUCAGUACUUCAUCCACGUAACCAUGACUUUUGUUUGUCGCUUCAUUCUAGAAGAAACCAUCUUUGGAAAUCUUUAGAGAUCUUCUGAAUUUUGGGUGUAGCGGGUGUUCUUGUAUUUCGAUAACUUCACUAGAACUUACUCCCCUUCUUUAAUGGACCCAAUCUCUCAAAUACGAAAGUUCUCACAGUUGAUUUUCCAAGUCAAUCAAAGAUAGAAGGCCGGUUAGAAGCGGCAGAUUCGUCUUCUAUAGUGAUAUAAUUGCUACUCGCCCUUCUUAUUGAGAUGCGCAUUAGUGGCGGUUGUUUUUAUCCCAGACCUUCAUGUGGUUGCCUCAUUGAAGUUUCUGAUGGGAGCUUCCCUAACUUUGACGGCUCAUUAGGAUUGUAUCCAACUUUUGCAAAUAGCUUGUAAGCGUUAGGAUCAAAACCUUCAUCAGUUCGCUUUGUAUGGAGUGCCAUAUUCUGCAAACGAUUUUGGGCUACAAACCCUGCAAGCGGUUUUGAGGAUAACUUUACUGCCUCAAUUCAUUUUACCAAAAGAGUUAACUCCCUUAGCGUCUUGGUUUAGAGAUUAGAUGAUUCACCUUCAUAUUUCUUCCUUUUAGGGACAUAUUGGAGCGCGAGACUUACUUUCUUUCCAUAAGACGCAAUACCCUCUUUAUGAGAUUUAUUCACGUUGGCGUGUGCCUCCUCAGUAAUAGCUUUGGCUUUACCAAUAGUCACCUCAGCUCUUUUAGUUAUGGGCUCAUCAUUCUUGCUUUUCAUGCCAUCAUCAACUUUUAUCUCCUUCAUAAUACAAUUCUUCAAGUAGAACUUUGCAUCGGUGAAGUGUGACUCUGCCUCGAUGAAUGGCUCAUCAUCAGCAACUAUCUUCUUCUCGACUUCACCCUUGUAGUAUUUCAAACAUUGAUGGUAGGUAGAUGGAACCACUUUGUUCUCAUGUGUCCAAGGCCUUCCAAGCAAGACAUUGUAUGAAGUCUUUGUAUCGAUCACAUGUAGCCAUGCACUUGAUUGCAUAUCUUCAAUGGUGAUUUCCAACCUGAUCACCUUUGCCCCCAUUGGUUGAAUCCUUGGAUCAUUAUAUGACUUUCAGAGAGUUCGUUCAUGAGAAUACCAAGUUAUUUCACAGUGCAAAUUGGCAAAAUGUUGACUGUCAACCAAAAUUUGAUUUAUCCUUUUAUCACGCAUAUAACAAACCAGGUACAACAUGCGGUUAUGAAGAGUGUCACCUAGCAGAAGAUCGUCAUUUGUGAACGUGACUUUUUCCUCACAAGCAUUAACUUCUUGAGGAGUGGACUCGAUGAGCUUUUUCGGAGAUGGUUCCAAUGGUAAGUCAUCACUCUUUUCUUCCCCUUUGUCAGCAUGUAAACAAGAGGCAUCAAUAUCCUCAUGGGAAAUCUUCGUGCGGAACCAAGAUGGCAAGAAAUCCUCCAAGGUUAUUGUAUGUCGUGGCUUUUGAGGGUGGUGCAUUCCACUUUUGCUUUCUUCAAAUACCUAACUGGAUUCUUUUACAUUGGUCUUUUUACCAUCAUCUUCCUUGUUGGUUGUUCUAUUGAUUCUUUUUGUGGGCUCCUUUUGUGGCGCCUACGAUGAGUCACCAAGUCCAACCUUCAUCAUCAUCCAGUUGAUCGUCUCUAACUUUGUUGUCCACCAGUAAUUCUUCAUUUUUGAUUCUUUUUAAACUGCAUAACUCAUCUAGACUGAAUGAGCCAAAGGUGAUAGAGACUUGGUUCGCGCUUGCUUUCUCGUCUUCAAGCACGAUCUUCUUUUUACGGGCCAAGUCCAUAACUUUGGCCUUGAAGACAAAGCACUUCUCCAGAGGGUGGCUUACAAAUCGGUGAUAUUUGCAGUAAUUUGGGUCAUUCGUUUUUCCAGCUUCAUUUGGUCGCUUCAUCUCCGGAAGCUCAAUGAAAUUUAACUCGAGGAGUUCUUCAAAAAUGGCUGGCACAUCAGAAUCUAGGAAUGGGUACUCUUUCUCCUGCAUUUCUUUUAGAGUCAAAUUUCCACUUGGCUUAUCUUGAAAAGAAGUGGAUUUCAUACUCUGCUUCUUGUUCACCUUCGUCGUGAACUUCAUAGGUGACGUGUUGACAUUAAGACUUGGGUACGAACUUGCCCCACUUCCUGACUUCUUGCUUGUCAUUCCCUUUGCAAGGUUCAUAGAUGGGUAGCAUUUCAUUUCCAGUGGAGGCCAUGCUUAAUUCCAUGUCAUGGGAACGAGUUGCAAAUUCUUCAAAUGUGCCAGGCUUGAUACCUUGCAAGAUGUGGCGCAAUCCCCAAUGCAUGCCUUGGAUGCACAUCUCUAUGCCUGAAGCUUCACUGAACCUGUCUUUGCAGUUGAGGCUUGCAUUCCUCCAACGAUUGAUAAAGUCGAUAACUAUUUCCCCCUUUCGUUGAUGAGUAUUUGUAAGUUCUAUCAUACUCACAGUACGUCUUGUACUAUAAAAGUGAUUGAGGAACUCUUGCUCUAGUUGAUCCCAGCUAUCGAUAGAUCCAGCCUCGAGGUUUGUGUACCAGUCAAAAGCAUUUCCUUUUAGCAAGCGGACAAACUUCUUGAUGAGGUAAUCUCUAUAAGUCCCAGCAUUAUUACACGUCUUCACAAAGUGCGUAACAUGUUGCUUUGGGUAACCUUUACCAUCAAACUGUUGAAACUUUGGAGGUUGAUAGCCAGCAGGCAUCUUCAACAUAUCGACCCUUGCAGUGUAUGGCUUUGCAUAUGUAAGGGAGGAUUUUACAGCAACUUCAUAUUUGUUCUUAAUAGUUCCUUUAAUGAACUUUUUCAAUUGAUCGAUUGGAAUCAUCCCUUCAGAUGAGACAGGGAUAGCCUUAGUGGAUGCUGCUUGUCUUGGGGGAGAGUCACUCUUUAGAUCUUCUGGAAGAUUGUCGGGUGCAUGGGCGGAUUCUUCUUCCAUCAAGAUUCCCACCCUGUCUGUUAGCUUAUCAAUUCUAGCCUCUUGAUUUUGCAUGCAUUUGGUCAAGCCAGUGAUUGCUUCCGUCAAGUUUGCCAACUGCUCCUCCAUAGAUGAACUGUUUGUCACCAUGGCUUGCAUGAUUGUCGUGGAUGACAGAGAGUAGCAUAGAUUUUCACACAGAUUGAUUCUUGAUUGGCUCACGUUAUGUGGUGUAAGUGGGGAGGAUCCAUCACUUGAAGCAUCAUCAUCUUCCUUCACAGCAGAGUGCUUGGAUCCGGAGAGGUCAAGCAGAGCAAAAUUUUUCUUGAUCUUUUCAGCCACAUCGCUUCCUCCUUCAGAUGCGUUUGUGGAAGAUCUUGCUCUUUUUGAGGAUGAAGAUUCAAAAAUAGGGGUUGAUGCGGACGACACUUGGGGUGCUUGUUGCCCUAAAUAGCUUGCUUUGCUCCUCGUAACUGGUCCAAAGCUUCCAAAGGUAACAUCGAGGAUGCUUUCCACAUCAGCGUAGAACCUGGAGUUAGCAGCCUUGGUGGAAGUUGAACCGGAGUUGAUUUUUUUUGAAGCCAUUUUACUGUUCUCGAACUGUGGUGAUUGAAAAGUUGACAUGAGAGGUAGAGAUUGUCCCACUGGGCGUGCCAGAAUUUGUAGACAAUAAAUUGCAUCGAGAAAAUAAAAUCAAGACCGAAAAUAUUGCAACAAUCAUAGUAUUUUAUUUUGAAUAUUUGAGUGUUACAAUCUCUAUGGAUCCUCUGAUUCUUCUUGCCAAUUGUAAAUAAAUUCAAGGGCGUUUGAGAUUGAGCUUGAAUCUAUGUUUGUUGCCACGAACGAUGUUGAAUUCAACUAGCACGAACUUUGAUUUGAACUCGCACUCCUUGAACCUUGAUUUGUUCUUCGUUCUUGAGCUUGAACUUGAUUUGUUCUUCGUUCUUGAGCUUGGACUUGAUUUGUUGAACUUGAACUUGAUUGCUUGAAGCUUGAAACUUGUGGAGGAAUUUGCGGUGUUUGAUCCACGAGCUCUCUCUUGCUUCUUGUUAUAACUUCUUGUGUCUUUUCUAGGUUAUGAAGGACCCUACUUAUAGUUGUGGAAGGGAAGAGUCAUGAUAAGAACAAACUCUUUCCGACCAAUCAAAUUGAAGUGUGACAUGGCCACAUUUGAUUGUCCAAAACAUGUCACUUGCACACGUGGCGCGAUUUCAUUGGCCUUUUAGUGUGACUUGGCAUACCUUGUCAUUUUGACACGUGGCAUGAUCCUAUUGGCUCUUCCGUUUGACUUGGCGCGCCACGUCAUUUGACAUGUGGCACCAAACUGAACCUCCAGGAAGAUGUCAUCUUGGGCUUAAUAAAGUGGGCUCAUUACUUUAGCCCAAUUAAAUGGGCUAGCCCAAUGGAUUAAGACAUAUUUAUUAUAAUCCAUAUAUAUUGGACUUAUAUAAUUAAUUUAAUUAUAUUAGCACAUAAUAUUUAUUUGGACUAGCCCAAAUUAUUUUAUUGAAUUUAUAUUCAAUAAAAUUUGCAUGCCUAUACCAUCAAAAUGGGUUUGGCCCGUGAGGCCAGCCCAACCCAGCCCGCUUCUUGGGUAGGGUUAGGCUAGGAUUUUUUGAGUCCAUUUAAAAUUGAGGCUUAUAAGCUCGACCCAAGUCAGCCCGCUGGCCCUUGAGGCCUGACCUCGGUUGGGCUUGGGCCGGCCCGUGGGCUAAAAAAUAAUUAACUAUCAAAUAUUUAAUAUUUUAAAAAAUAAAAACUAAAAAAAACUGUUAACUAUAAUCCUCAUUCCCCAACCCUAGAUUGCUCAUUUACCUUCUAUAUCAACUAAAAUUUAUAUUUUUGACAUGCAUGUUAUAUGACAAAAUUAGUUUUUAUUUUGCUUAAUUAAUAAUGAACACGAAAAGUUUUAGGUGGCCAAUAAUAAUCUUUUUUCAAAAGAAAAUAUUACUUUAAGUGGCUAAUAAUUAGUUUUGAUUACUUUAAUAUAUUAUUAAUAUUUAAACUAUUCUUCAGUAUAGAAAAAGAUCAAUUUUAAAUACACACACACACAAAAAUUUGACCACUAGCAAAUUUCAGGAAUUUUAAAAAUUUCAUGGACUAUAAUGAUGAAAUCAGCAAAUGAUGUUAAUCCUGAAUUAAAAAACCUCAGCAUAUAAACUUAUUGAAGCUUUAAAAAGUAUAGAGAAUUUGCAUUUCAAUUACGAGAUUCCUCUCAAAUAUCAAGCUUUUUGUAAGUUAUACGCAAACAGAAGUUAUUUACAUGAUUAAUCGACUAUGUCACGAAAAAUAUUUAAGGAUUUAAAGAAAUUCUUUUUUCUAAAAAAAAUUGAAGGGCCGACCCACCCUAGCCCGCGACCCUCUUAGGGCUGGGUUGGGUGACCAUUUUAAGGCCCAUUCAUAUGGCGGGCCGGCCUGUCCUAACCCAUCAUAUUUUAAAAGCCUAUGAGGUUUGGGCUGGGCUAGGCUGGCUGGGUUGGCCUGUUUUGACAGCUCUAAUAAUUAGUCAUAAAAUGUCAAAAUAGCACGGUAUAGCCAGUUUUCGGACUAGUCAAUCAAAAAUAGCCACCAUUUACGAAGUCAAUGAAAAAUAGCCACUAUUUUGCUGCAACAGAGACUGGUCCCGUAUAAUAUACGGGAGUUCGGUGCAUCUGUGUACGAACUCCAGCAUAUUAUGCUGGACCGGUAUACUUUGUUGACUCCUGUAUAAUAUACGUGAGACUGGAGCACCGGUGCUCCAAACUCCAGUAUAUUAUACUGGACAUUUAUACUUGCUGGAACUCCCGUAUAUUAUGAUGGAGUUCUAGUGUACUUAUGUUGGAACUCCAACAUAUUAUACGGGAGUUCCAGCAUAGUUAUCCUGGAACUCCCGUAUAAUAUACUGGAGUUCAAGCAUACUUAUGCUGGAACUCCAGUAUAAUAUACGGGCAUAUUUUCCGGGUUUUGAACAGUGUUUUCCCUCAGAUUUAUUUUUACAUGAAAAGUGGCUCAAUUUCGAUUACUUUUAAAACUGUGGCUAUUUUUGAAUGACCAGUUGUAAAUCUGGCUAUUUUUAAAUUUCUCCCUCAUAAAAUUCGUUGAUAAACCCUUUACAGCUACUGUCAUUCAACAGUUAGGCCCAAAACAUUACCAGAUAUAUUGAUCCAACUGUACAAAGCGCAGUGUACGUACCUAUAGGCCCAACACAUUGCCAAGGCUCCCAAUUUACAGCUUUUCGGCGUAGGUGCACCGUGCACAAACAUCCACUCUUACGGAAAAUAUUUAAUGAUUAACUAGUACUUAUUUUGUCCUAAAAAUUUCAGGACAAUUCAGAAUAUUUUUGUCUUAAAAAUUUGAACCGAAAAAUUAAAAGUUAGGAAGCACCGACUAAUUCCUAAAUAGCAGUCCUUUAGAGUGGCUACCUGGUGUCAUUUCCACCAACACCCUACCAUAAAAAGUUGAAGGUAACGAGUAAUCCUCUAUUCUUAUUCAGACUCACAGUAGAAGACAAAUAAAAUGGUUCAUCAAAGAUCAAUGGAUUAUGGAAUAGUUAUAUAGGCUAAUUGAAUCUCUUGACAAUCACCUUUGCUUUUUCUAAUUUUUAUGUUAGGCUAAUUGAGGCUAUACAUGUAAAUAUGUAAUAUUUCUAUCCUCAAAAUGUAAGUUGUGUUAAACAGCUCGUGUUGCAUCCCCUUAAUUCUUUUUCAUGUCUUCUCUAUAUCGUUUCCGCCUAGUAUGUUACCAUGGUAUUCCGUAUUAAAAUUCAUAAAAUACAUCAUAUUAAAAUGUGCGUAAAUCAAACUAUAUUUCUUCAUUAACCAUGGCUUGUCAGUUUCCACCAGACUUAUUUAACAAACUAACUGCACUACAUGUCCACUGUGCUACAUAAGGACUUCUUUCUUUAUGGUCCAGAAGAAGAUAUAUUGUGCUUGAUUAUAAAACCAAUUCUGCUCUUGUAAAAAGAGAGCCUUAAAUAAAGGAGGAGACCUAUAUUUCUCUUGGGGAACAAUUGAAUACAAUGAAAAAACUAUCAAACUAGAGGAUCCAAUUCAGUUUCCUUGCAAAAUACAUUCUUCAAAUGCUCAAAAUUUUUGGGGGAAAUUCUCUCUUCCUUUUCAAGGGUUAGUGGCAGACUUAGCUUCUUCCAAUCCUAGCAACAAUAGGGGGUAAAACUUUUACAUAACAUAUGAGAAACUGGCUAAUCUGCAACUAAUAUUAAGAUAGGGAAUGCCUCCUACUUCUUGAUGGGGUGGAUUUUGAUUCCCCAGCAUUGGAAGAUCCCGGGCUUUCUGAUGUAUCCGAGCUGCUGUUCUCACUUACUCUAUCUUUGUUGGACCACAGUUUUGAGAAGAUCUUCUUGGACAUGAUUAAACCCUUUGUUUUGCCACCAGCCACCUUUUCGGCACUCAGUUUCAUGUCUUUCAAAUUACUAUCAUUGCUCCCUUCCUUGUCUCUUAACCUUAGAGUAGCAAGCUCCCCUUUCAAAGCUUUAAGCUCCUCAGCUGUAGGCACGGCAUCCCAGUCCUCUUCUGUGUUGGUCGUAGCAGAUCUUGAGCUACCAUGGGAUUCCCCUGGAAGCAAAGCCUUAAUCGUUCCAUGUAGGUCAGGAGUGCUGCCACCACCAGAUGAUGUUGUUGCUCUCACUUGCUCGAAGAACAGCACUUGUACAACUACGCGUAAAGGAAGGCGCUCAUUCUGCACAGCAUGCAUGCAAGCCUCAGCUGAUAGCUUCCGACAGUCCAUUAGUUUACAAAUUCUUUUUCUUUCACUCUUGGUGAUCUCAGGAUGUUCCUGCGAAAAAGAAAAUGAUUAUUCAGAACUCUUGAUGAUAAACCAGCCACACAAAUGUGCCUCUGGUGCUUCUCAAGGAGCAGACAGAGUGGUUUUCAACCAUUAAUUGCUUUCCUUUUCAAAUAUCUGAAGCCCAAAAACUAUAAAACAUGAUGUUUGAAAAAGAUAAAUGCAAAAUGGAUACCUUAAGGUACAUGUCAAUAGCACGGUAAAUUCCAUCAUGGGAAGGUCUAGGGAAGCCAGAGACCAUAUCAGCAAGAUUGACAAAUUUAGGCAAAGGUAGAUUUGGAUCUCGAGAAACUUCCGCAAGGUAUCCAUCAAUCACCCUUGCCACCUUAACCUUGGAAGCAUCUGAUGCAAAUGCAGGGGGCAUCUCCUGAAAUUCAUUAUCUUCAGUAUAAUUGCUCUGACCACUCCUUUGCUGCAGUAGGAACUGUUGAACAAGCUCAUGUACUAUGUCAAUAUCGUAUGUAGUAGCUUCACUAGCUGGGGCUCGAAGCAGGAGGUCAGCUACUGAUGCCUCGUCCAGCUGCAAGCCAAUCCUCCUCUUCAGUUCACUUCUUACUGUUUCUCCGCAUUCCAAAGAAAUAGAAGUCUGUAACAAUCUGAUCAAGAAAUUACAAGAAACACUAUUUUUCUCUGUCGGCAACAGAGAAGUAAUCGCAUCGACCAAGCACCGAUACUUCACAGGAUCGCUUCCUGGUAGUGUACCCUUGCUGAAUCCCGGUAGCCUUCGGUAGGCAUACACUUUCAAUGCUUCACCUAUUACUUCUGGAGACAUUCCCCGCUUAGUUUUUAUCGUCGUUAUAACCCGUUUAUACAUGUCAAUGUGAAGUUCACAAAGGUCCUCAACCCACCAGUCUCUUGGAACAAACUGUUGCAUUUUCACACCAUUCCAUAGCGGAUCACUUCCAUUUUCAGCUGGAAGAUUUUUACGGUUAUAAGUAUACGACCAGUCCACCUUUGAGGUGUCAAUAUAAGCUUUAGAUGCUACAGAGUCUAGACAAUGACUAACAAUCUUUAAUUCCUCGGACCAGGGAAGAAAAGAUUUUGUUGUUUGGAGAACAAUGAUUGAAUCUUUCCAGCUCCUGAAGAUGCUAGAAGUAAGAAAGACCUCAAUCUUGUAGAUAAGGUUACCCUUCUCUACAGUUUCAUACAUUUCCAGAUAUUCAGCUGCACAGCGAGCUGCAACCACAUUGUACGCGUUCAGAGUUACUGCCAUACCAUAACAGAACUUUGCGCAUAUUUCAAAAGCUGCAGGUCCACCAGGUACAUCGUGGAUGUUGAUUUCAUCAUUGCUUUCCUCAUUUGUAUGUGCCGCCAGCUUCUGCAAGCGACCGCUCUUCGACAGAAGUGGGAACUGGAGAAAGUAUAAUCCUGUUAGUAUUAACAGGUAACACACCGGAUGGAUCAAAUAGUAAGCAGGCAACAACAGGGAAAUGAGUAUUGUCUGCAAGUAUCAGAAUGUGAACUAUUGGUAUUACGAAGGAUUAGGCUGAAUCUCAUUGAGAGUAUUCCCUUGCUAGGCUAUCUUCUGAACAUUCAGCACUAACAAGAUGGAAUGAAGAAACUUUAGCCUUUUGAAUGCAAUGGCAGGCUGAUGCAUGCUGAAAGUGACACCGCAAAUUCAUUUUUAUGUUUUAACCACUUUGAUAACUGGUGUCAACAUGUCAAGGUCAAUGGACAACUAAUAGAUCUUAGGCUAGUAUUUCUGGGAUAUCAUGUCUAAAAGUAUCUAAAACAUGUACUUCAAAGUUUUAUAUGUUAAACACGCCAAGAAAAGAGUAUGACAAAUAUGGCCCUAAGAUGGAGAACAUACCUUGUGGACAUUAAAUUUUACAUCUCCAACAUGGAUGACCAUAUCAGUUGCCAAUUCAGUUGCUACAUACCUGCAUAGGAAGCUUAUACAUCAUCUUCCAGAUGAAACCAUUUCAAACAAUGUAAAAUCAAACAAUAUGCACAUAGCCAGCGUGUUAUGUAUCAAGAAAAAAAACUAGAAGUUAGUGAGAUGAUAACCCCUCAUUUGGAUUAGUAAGGUAAGCCCCUUACUUCUCUUUUUGAGGUAUUUAUUAAUAAAAAUUCAUUCAGCGUACAUCUGGGUGGUUUUAAAGAGAGAGGUUGAGAGAGAGAUGAUCCAUUUUCCUGGCUUAAUAAAGGACAAUCUGAGAUCAUUUGUUGCCGAAAGGCUAGCUUUGGCCAAGGCAGUGUAAUUGGUAUAUGAUCUUAAGUGCUGUAGUAAGGUUUUCCCUUGUUUAUGAGUUUCAGUUUUGCCGGGGGGGGGGGGGGGGGCUCUCAUGUAAAAAUGGUGAAUAGUUCCCUUCCUAGAGGAAAUUUCAUUCAAACCUGAUUAAAUGUACUAAGGUAGAUGGUUGGCAAUGUAACAUUCAUUAUUUCUUGACUAUGUCCUGGGAGGUUUUUCUUUUGGAAGGCGCUAUGUUAUGAGCAAACCUUUUCAUAUCUAGUUCACAUAUGCGCAAAAAGAAGAGUAUGUACUCUCUACUCCAUUUUCUCUAAAGUAAUUCAACAUUUUCUAUUUCAUGAUACAGUUUCGAGUGAGAAAAUGAUGCUAUAAAUGUCACUGCGUAGUUUCUGGUCUAUUUUAUACUAGUUUAAAGUAAAAUAUACCAUUCCCAAUUGUACUACUUUUGGCAACUAACUGAAAAUGGUGAAGCAGACAUGCUUUUGAGAUACCUAAUAAGCUAUAAAAGAAAAGAGCCCACGCCAACACAGUGAGUUUGGUAGUACUUAAAGAUUAGGUUUGGCAGGAAAUAGAGUAGAAAUUACGCGCAGGGAAGGUCUCAAAGUCUCAUCUUACUUUGUACAUGCGUCUGUGAUAUUUUUGAUAAGAGGAGAAUCAAAAUUAAGUGCUUGAGGCAAGUAAAUCCUGGUGCAACUAAGAGAAUUGUUUGUUCUAAUCCUGACCUUCACUUUUUCUCAACCAUUUUCUGCACAAGAAUAUAGCUGCCUGACCAUUGAUCCACGCCCAUCCACCUCUUGUGAAUAAAGUCUUGAGGAAAGGCAAUAAGUAUACCGUUUUCUUUUUAUGCGCUUUAUGUAAUAACUAUAAAAAUGGGCUCGGUGCACUAAGUUUCGGCUAUGCGCGGGGUCCGGGGACCACAAGAGUUUAUUGUACUACCAUGCAUUUCUACACGAGGUUGUUUUUACGGCUCGAACCCGUGACCUCCUGGUCAACAUGACACAACUUUACCAUUUACGCAAAGCUCCCCUCACUUUAUGUAAUGACUAUAUGAGAGGAAAACCAAGCAUGAACCUUACAGAUUCAAACAGGCAUAGGACAACAAAAGUAUAUCAUCCGGAAAAUAAGACAUAUAAGAACAAAAACAAUUACGUACUACCUAAUUGGAAUGAUGGGAAAAGGAAGGUGAGGAAUGCUGGGAAGGGAAAUAAACUAAAUUUCACAAAGAUGGAUGAAUUAUUGACCUGAUAUUAUCUCCUUCUGUCUGAAACUGAUCAGGCUUGGAUCCAAGUUUCAUAAACUUCAUCUUGGUGUUUAAAGUAUCUAUUUACCUACUGUUUCUCAGUUCUAAACUUUCAAUAAUUCAGAAGACAAAGCUAAGGAAGGUUAAACCAAAAGUGCUAUUAUUUCCAAACUUCACAAGCUUUCAAGAAGGAAGAGAGAUGGCUUCUUUACUGAUUCUAGUUGUAAACUCAACCACAACCAACCACAAAAUGCCAGUCCAAGAUAUUUGACCAACCGACUCAAUACCGCAAAUUUUGAGCUCUCAAAAUCAGUGUUAAUGCCACAUGCUCACCACUGAUACCACCGCCCUUCCUCUAUAUAUAUAAAUAUUUAAACAACUUCCCGUGCUUUCUCUGAAAAAGCAAACACCAGAAUCCACAUUCCUCUAUUCAAUGCUCCUCUCUCACCAAUGAAGUUGAAGGACCUGUAAUAACAAAGAAACAUCAUCUUGGUAUGUUUUCAAGAACAUAACAAAAUUGUUGACAACAAGUAUCAAUUUGGUCCGCAAGCGUCGCAUAGAUAUGAACAAACAUGCACAAGUACCCAAAAAUGUGUUCUGGACUGGGAAGGGAAAACAAAGCAAAAUUGCCUAAAACAGAGCAUCACAUUGAACAUAUAACUUGACACACAAAAUCAAACUGAAAACGUGCCUAAAGAAAACCACCAAUACAAUUACAACAGACUCUUGUCCCAAAGCCAUACCCCCCCCCCCCCAAAAAAAAAGCAAGAAAUAAUCUAGAAAUCCCGAUCUAGGCAAGCAAAGUUGGUUGAUAAAACCAAGUGCAAUGCCAAGUAAAAAUCAGAAGAAAAAAAAAGAAGAAGACUCUUUAGAAAGAAUACCAAAAAUAAUCCAAUUCAACGUGCAUUUUCCGAUAAAGAAGAAAGAGGGGAUUUUUUUUUUGAAUUAUUUGAGUGAUUAAUCUCCAAGACUCACCGCAAAAGCUACGAAAUUUCGUGGGAAGUAAAGGCAAAUCAAUCAAAACUGAGCAACGGAAGAGAGCAGAUAUACAGUACAAAAGCACAAGAGGAAGCAGAAGAACUCAAGGGACAAAGCCAAGAAGAAAUUCCAAAGGACACAAACUACUAUCAGCAAUCAGAGAAAAGAUGAAGGAACAAGAACACAGAAAACUAACCAUGAAAAAGAUGAGUUGUCGCUAAUCUAAUCUAAAUCUUUGCCAGCCACCAAAGCAACACCGUGUAUUCACAAAAAGCCAAUCUCAAGAAUGUUUCCAAACACUUAAGAAUCAGCACCACCGUCCCCACCACCACUAUUUCUCAGAAAUCCCAGUACAGAAAAUCAAGAAAACUACUAAGUACUAAUUACUCUACAGAAUAGCUAGCUGUAUUUAGCUUCUUUUUAAGUGGCUGAAACGGGAAAGUGGGGGUGCCUUCUUUUUUGAGCAAAUAAAGGUAUUAAGAAACAUCCUCCUCCAAUCUCUAAUUAUAUUCUUUCUUCUCUCCUCUUAGUAUUGGCUACAGUAUUACGCACGCCAAUCUGACACAAUCUACUCACUUUCUUGUUGCCUAACUCUUUCCCAAUUAAACAACACUUUCUUUUACCCGUAUUGUUAAUAGUUAUAGCAAUAAGAUAACGACCCUUCCAUUUCCCUCUCCUACUUUUAUAACGGUGCUUUCCAUCUCAUUUUUCUCUUACAUUAUAUAUUCAAAAAUAGCGUCAGUAAAGUCUGUUUUUUUUUUCUGAACUAGGUUAGCCUGUGAAUGGCCUUUGUUGGGUUGAAAUAUAUUGGUCUAUAUAUUGCAAGGUUAGAGUUAUAAUUAUUGAGCUGCUUCAAUGUGGAAUUAGCAAAGUAUAAUUAAUCUCAAUAUAGAUUACAGAUUAGUGCAAAAGUAAUCUGAUUAUGCUGAAUUGUCUAAAUGCUAAAGCCGACUUAAACGAAACGGACUUUAAUAAUUACAAGGAAGUACUAAUACACAUAGUUGACCCAAAAUAAUUUUAAAAUUAAAGCAUAAUUCGUUGAUUAAUGCUCCUCCAGUCCCAAAUUAGUGGUUUAAAUAAAUUGACCUUUGUUGAAUUAUAUUUAACUCUUUUAUAAACAAACAGAAAGACAUUAAUUACUUUUAUAUCAGUUUUAGUUUUAGUUUUCAGUUAAUUUUUCUUGAGCCGAUGGUCUUUCGGAAACAACCUCUUUAUUCCCUCGGAAUAAGGAUAAAGUUUGCGUCUCACUACCCUCCCUAAAUUUUACUUGUAAAAUUUCACCGAGUUAUUAUUAUUGUUGUUGUUUUCAAUUAGCUGAGUGUUUAUUACGUGAAACGUUUAAAAAAGAGAUAUAAGAUUGCGAAUUUGGUCACACGAAUGUCAUAAACAAAACUAUACAAAAUAUUUGAAGUGUUGAUUGAUUGGGACAAUGUUACAUCAAAAGUAAAUUUGAAGCCAGUAAUAUUUAUUAGUAGGAACUAUGAAAUAAGGACUGGACGAUAGGGUGGGUGGCACAUGGGUCACUCAUGGCUUAAAACAUAGGAAUUAGGACUGCGUUUCUUUUAAGAUUUUUUUACCUCAUAUACCAAAAGUUAACCCCUUAUUUACUUUAAAUAAAUAUUAUUUAAAAAAAUUACAUUUUAUAGAUACAUUUUAAUGUUUGUAGCAAAAUAUCUAAUUUUGGUUACUUCCUACGCUUAAGCCACUAAAUACGCUAUUCAGUUACACUAUUUUCUUUCUCUCUCUACUUUGAUACAUGUCAUUCUCUUCCUCAAUUCCCUGAAAACACGAUACUCAAUCUCAAAAUUACUCUCACCCACAUCAUCUAUCAUUAGUCACCUUUCCAAAUUUCAAUUUGUCCAGGACCCACGCUCUCUUCUCUCUACUUUGCUAGGGUUUCGAUACACAGAUCCCAUUUUUUCACUCACUCUGAAUCAUCUCGAUCCAGUAGUAUUCCAUCUAGGGUUUCGUCAAUCUCGAUCUGAAAAUGGCAUCUUUAGCGGCAGUUUCGGCGCCCCUUGCUGCUCCUUCAUCUAAAACCGAGACAAAUUCCUCUCACCCAUCUCAAAAUUUCUGUUAAUAUAUUUUAAUGUAUUUUCAACGUAUCAUGCUAUAUUUUCAUGUAUUUCAUUGUAUAUAUUAUUUUUUUUUCCAUUGUAAUUCAAUGUAUUUCGUUGUAUUUCAUUGUAUUCACUGUCUUUUUUUCCAUUGUAUUUGAAUGUAUCCCGCUGUAUUGUAUGUAUUCAUUGUAUUCACUGUCUCGCUAUAUACCAUGAAUGUAUUCNNNNNNNNNNNNNNNNNNNNNNNNNUAGGAGUCUAUCAUGUUAAUUGAUUCACUUUCCAUUUAAAAAUAAUGGUUUCACGCUGAAUACAGUCGAAUAAAAUAAUCUGUUCAGCUGUAAUCCCAUGUUUCACGCCAUAAAUACAGUCGAAUACACUCGAAUAUAACAACUGAUUAACUGGACUUCCCUGAUUCACGUCUAUUUUUGCUAUUAUUUACAAUCCGUAAUAUAGCAGAUGAUAUGUGUACAUAGCUAAUUACCAAUAAAAGAUAAUGUUUUAUGAAAAUUUCUCUUUCUUUUUAGUUUAGAUAAUUAGACUUUCCCUCGCUUUUGCAAUUUAGUAUACACAAAAGACUUGGAAAAAAUAACCAUUUCAGCGUAAUUUCCACGUUACAUUUGAAUGGUCAACCAACUUCUCCCAAUGAGAAAACUUAGUAAUAGUUUGAGAGAAUUCUCAUUAACUAAUGGAUUGUAAAUAUUGAACUUAUCAUCUUUUAAUUUAACAAUUAUGUACAGAUCUAUUCAAUGCGACAAACUUUUUCUUAGCAUCACGUUUUGCUCUCAAGAGCCAAAUUAAAUUUGACCCUUAAUAAACUUCUAUAGCCAUUUUCAUAAGAGAAAUAUUUGUAACGACAUAAAUGCUUUCUACCGGUUAAUACAUGAACUAUAAAUAAAAGACCAAGAUCUCCUCUGAAUUAUAAAAGAUUAUUCAUACAUAGUAUAGUUCAAGCGACAUAUUUCAUAUUUGGCUGCCUCGAUCACAAACUAAAAUUUAAAUAAGAAAAAGUUAAGGAACAAUUUGGAAUUUUAACCUAAUUAUACUAUAAUAGAAACCUAUUUACCGCCUUUAUAUUUACUAAUUAUAUACAAAAUCAUAAAAAAGAAGAAAUUCAAGAUCCCGUAAAUCUAGCCUAUCAGUUACAUGACACCUAAUCCCCAUUUCCAAUAGUCCUCCCUACAUUUAAGAUUCUUUCAUUUUCCAAAGAAUUGCAAAAACAUCUCCUCUCUUUCUUAACAAUUACCCAAAAUUGUUCUUACUCACAGUAAGAAAUUUCGUUUACCCACUGUUAUCCAAAAUCUUGCUUACCUAAAAUCUCGCUUACCCAUUGUUACCCCCCUAAAAAUGCAAGUUCUUUUCCUCUUCCAAAGCUUUUGAAAUUCAAUUUCUCUUUUUCUUACUAAUCACCCAAAAUCUCUAUUUCUUAUUAAUACAAUGCAAACGAAAUUCAGAAUAUUGCUCUAGAAUCAAGUUGUGGGUAAAUUUUGAAUAUUAUUUUCUUUCUUUCUAAUAUCUUUAUUGUAUUUGACUUGUAUAUGAUACAUCAAUACCCAAAAUAAUACUCGAUAAAAUACUAAUACAAUUAUAAUAUAUUUUUAGUGUAGAGUUGCGAUUGAAACUUGACGAUGAAGAUAAUAAUUGUAUCACAAUUUUUCAGAAAUGUAUCGCGAUUGUAUUAUAAUUGUAUAUAUCAUAAUUGUUGUAGGAACGGUAUUACAAAUGUAUGAUAAUUGUAUAUUCAUUAUAUAUUAUUACGAGCAAUUGUGAUUUUCUGACGUAUUUCACAGUUUGUAUCACAAAUAUGAUAAUUGUAUAUUAAUUUAUCAGUAUUGUAUCAGGUAUUAUUUUGGAUACUAAUAUACCAGAUACAAUUGUGAUACAAGCAUGAUAUAUAUUAUUACGAGCAAUUGUGAUUUUCUGACGUAUUUCACAGUUUGUAUCACAAAUAUGAUAAUUGUAUAUUAAUUUAUCAGUAUUGUAUCAGGUAUUAUUUUGGAUACUAAUAUACCAGAUACAAUUGUAAUACAAGCAUGAUAUAUUUAUGUUUGCAUUGAUGUAUCUCAUACAAUUCAAAUACAAUUAUAAAUUAAGUUAUCAUACAAUUUUUGAAUAUUUUUUAAUAAUAUAAAACUGUCGAAAAUGGUGGGAAGAGAGAAGAUGGAGAUUCUGGGCGUAGAUUAAGUUUUAAUGUAAAAAGAGAGAGAGAGAAGAGGAGAGGGACAAAAAGAAAAUAAUGUAAUUGAAUCCCUUAAUUGAAGGCACUAAUAAUAGGGUGAGAGCCUUUUAAGAAGCAAUAUGCACAAUUUGUAAGAAAAACUUAAAUACUUAUUAAAAAUUGUAAAAUAUAGAGAACAUAGGUAAAUAAAUUUCUAAUAUAGUAUAACUAGGUAAAAAUUCAAUUAUAGAUAAAAUUUGUAGUGUCAAUCCAGCACAAGUCCGAGCAAAACCAACCCAGCAGACAACUAACAAGAUGCCCCCUUCACUUCACAAACACCGUAUCUAGGUAAGCCGCAUCAAAUUGAAUUGUCGUAUAUUCGAAUAAAGAAUAAAUUAAAGUUAGUUCAGUGUAACUCUAGAAUUUGAUUAAAUGAAACCCCAAUAAACUACAGUUCCAAACAAUUUACGCCAAGAGUUUUUUGAACCAUGCAAUGGAGUAGUCUAAUCAAAAAAUGGGCAUCCCCUCUUCACCUUAUGGACAAACUGCGACCACAUCUUUUCUCUUUAUCCAAAACGUCUUUCGUUUUAAUUUUUCCUCAAAAAUCUCUCACAUGCCCAUGUCCCCAGCUCCAAAACUCCUCUUCUUCCAAUGUCACCUAAAAUCCAUAUUAUAAUAUUUUCUGACAUGCCAUAUUCUUUGUUCUUUUACACUUUCCUAUAAUAAUGCCCCCAUUGCUGAAUUAAUUAAUAAAUUCUAACAUUGUGUAAGGAAUCUCUUCGCCCAACACAUUCUUUUACUACUAGUAUAAACUUCUCUGGUCUUCUUCCUUUUUUUUUAUAUACAGUGGCUAUUAUAGUUUUGCAUCAAUAAGAUCUAUACAAAGAUGCAAUUGAAAUUUUUUUAGUAUAGCAUUGAGAAGUGGUUUAAGCUGACAUAGAUUUUAGAGGCAAUCUUGAGAAAGAUACUAUCCACGAAAGUUGGUCGGAUGUCUCUAAGAGUUUCUUGCAACAUAUGACAAUCAACAAUUGACAAUGUUUGGUCUAACAAACUUUUUCUUGCCAUCACACGGGUGCGCGCAGUGCACUUUGCUUCACAUGUGGUACUUGUGGAUGUCUCCUUUCCUUCGUCACUGGAAGAUAAAAAAAACUAUAGUUCUUAAUAUUUGGAUCUUAUUAGUGAAUUAUACAAUUCUUCUUAUGUGAGCUUUGUAUAUAAUGACAUUUUUCAAACCCGAACAAAGAGAAUAAUUAUCGUCAAUUUAUGUUAUCGUAAAAAUAGUUUAAUUAUGAUGAAUUAUUUAAAUGAAUUUGAAUAGAGCAGACUGAGGAUUGCAUAUCAUCCUCCUUAAUUAAAUUUAAGAUUGACAAGUUUUUUGUCAAAUCAGAGAUUAACCAUGAGUGUAGGCUGCCAUUGAUGUGGCACCUUGAGCUCGAGAGACAAACGAGAGAUUGAGCUGUGAAAGAAAAGAAAUUUUUGGAGAAAUGAAAAUGAGAAAAUCAAGACUAACCUGUAUUCAUUUGUUAUGUUUCUUUUAUAUACACACGUAUGAUAGGAAAAGAAAAUAUCUAAUCGACUAAUGCUAACACCUAAUUACAUAAGUACCCCAAUAACUGCCUCACUUAUUUAAAUGGGAUAGCUACUACUAAUGUAACGACCUGGCCGGUCAUUUUAAGAAUUAACGCUCCGAUCCCCUAUUAACUGCUUUCCCCGUAUUUGUUUCUACUAUUGUGAGUUGACGGGAGGAUUUAUGUGGAGUUUCGGAGAGUUUUGGGACACUUAGUCCCUAAAUGAAAGUUUAAGUCUUAGAAUUUGGACCGUAGUCGGAGCAGUGUGAAGACCGCCUCAGAAUGGAAUUUCGUUGGUUCUGUUAGCUCCGUUGGGUGAUUUCGGGCUUUGGGGUGUGUUCGGAUUGUGUUUUGGAGGUCCGUAGCUUAUUUAGGCUUGAAAUGCCGAAAGUUGAAUUUUUGAAGUUUCCGGUUCGAUAGUGAGAUUUUGAUACGGGGUCGGAAUGGAAUUUCGAAAGUUGGAGUAGCUCCGUGGUGUUGAUUUUGACGUGUGUGCAAAAUUUCAGGUCAUUCGGACGAGGUUUGAUAGACUUUUUGAUCGAAAGCGUAAUUUGAGAGUUUUUAGAGUUCUUAAGCUUGAAUCCGUGGUUAAUUCGAUGUUUCGAUGUUGUUUUAGGUAUUUUGAGGAUUGGUAUAAGAUUGGAUAGUGGUAUAUGACUUGUUCGUGCUUUUGGUUGAGGUCUUGGGGGCCUCGGGAUGAUUUCGGAUAGUUAGCGGGAGGUUUGGAGUUGAGUUUGGCAGCUGAAGUUUUAUGGUUGAUGUCAUAACCUCAUCUGCGGUUGGGAGGCCGCAGGUGUGACUCCCGCAGAUGCAGAAGCGGACAUCUGGACGCAUCUGCGAUGGCGCAAGUGCGAGAGAGUGACCGCAAAUGCGGUCCCAGACCUUUAAGUAAAAACCACAGGUGCGGUGGGUUAGACAGCAGAAGAGGAACCGCAGAAGCGGGAAAUGACCGCAGGUGUGGAAUCCCUGGGUCAGAAGGUAUAUAUUUCACCCUUCGCGAUAUCUGGCCAUUUUUCUCAAUAUUUCAUUAGGGGUGAAGCUUUUGGGAGCCAUUUCAAGGGAGAUUUUCAGAGGGAUUCAUUGAGGUAAGGUCCUUGGUUCCUAAGCUCAUUAUUGUGGUGAUUUUAUCAUUAUAAGCAUAAAGUUUGAAGGAAAAUCAGUGGUAAAUUGAGGGUUAGCGCUUGGUUAAUUGGAGAGCUUUGAGUGGUGAUUUGAGGGACCAUUUGAGGUCCGAUUUUAGUACUUUUGGUAUGAAUGAACUCGUGAGAGUGUAAGAAUUCCAAAUUUGUAAAUUUCACCCGAUUCCGAGACGUGGACCCAAGGGGCGUUUUGGUCAUUUUUUCUAAUUUUGCGUAUUAGCUUAGAAUUUAAUUAGUGAAAUAGUUACUUGAAGUUAUAUUUACAUUAUGCAAUUGAUUUGAAUAGAUUUGGGCCAUUUGGAGAGCGUGGUUUUCGGUUAAUUUUGAGCCGAUUUGAGGUAAGUGGCUUACCUAACCUUGCGUGGGGGAACUUCCCUUAGGAUUGGUAUUGUUGAUAUUUGGAAUGCCUUGUACGUGAGGUGACGAGUGCAUACUUGUGCUAAUUAUUGAAAAUCCUGUUUUCAUUAAGUAACUUUAAUUGUGUUUCCUUUCCUGUUUAUACUACUUGCAAUUUAAGCCUGCUGUUAGCUUAGGGAAGUAUGUCUAAUGACUUAAUUGCUUUACUUGCUCAAACUGCCUUAUUUGGAUUAUGUGCAACAUGUUAGGUUAGAAAUACCUGUUUUACCUUGGUAUGCAAUUUGAAUUGAAUUGUGUAUUCUUCGUGUUGCUGUUGUGUGUUUACUUUGGGACUACGAGACGGUAUCCCGGGAGAUCCCUCUACAUGUUUACUUUGGGACUACGAACUUGUAUUCCGGUAGAUCCCCCUGCAAAUUUACAUUGGAACUACGGGACUGCACCCGGUAGAUUCCCCCUGUACUGGAUAUUUACAUUUGGGACUACAGAUCGGAAUUUCGGUAGAUCCCCGCACAUUAUGAGUUGGACUACGGGAUGGCACCCGGGAGAUCCACUAGAUAUUUAUAUUUGGGGACUAUAGGACGGUAUCCUGGGAGAUCCCCGGUUGUUAUCUCUGUGUUGAGCUGUAUUCCUUUCCGUGAUUAUUUUAUCUCUGUUGUAGUUGUUGUUGUUCUUUCUAUCCUGUGUUACUUGUUACUGUUGCACUUAACUAUACUGUCUUAUUCUAUACCGUUAUACCUUAUUUCUCAUUUAAACUUAGUAGGGCCCUGACCUUCCUCGUCACUACUCGACCAAGGUUAGACUUGACACUUAGUGAGUACUGCUGUGGUGUACUCAUGCCCUUUCUGUGCAUGUUUUUCAUGUGCAGAUCCAGGUACUUCGACUCAACCCUACUACCCUUGAGGCGAGGCGAUUCUCUAGAGACUUCGAGGUAUAUCUGCCACGUCCGCAGACCUAGGAGUCCCUUUUCCAUUCUCUCUAAUAGUUUAGCCCUUCUGUAUUUAUCUUGAUUUAGACAUUCUGGAGUUAGAGUUUAAUGUAGUAUUUAUAGUUUGUGAUUUUAUGAGAUUCCGGGUUUUGGGAAUUGUUUAGUUUCUGAGGUCUUGUAUUGUUAUAUGCCAAGCGGCAUCUUAAACACUUCUAUAAUUGUUUAUAUUCAGUUUUUAUUAGUUUUCCGCAUUUUGGUUCUCUUUCCGCAAUUGUUAGACUUACCUAGUCGUAGAGACUAGUUGCCGUCACGACAGUUUGGAGGGCGAACUUGGGUCGUGACAACUAAUUACAUGAAUAAAUACUCUCAAUAUACCCCCUCAAGUUGGAGGUGAGGUACUCACAACCAACUUGCUAAGAAUAUUAGUGUGCUUAAUCCCAAUUAAGGCCUUGGUUAAUAUGUCUGUUAAUGGAUCAUGUGUGGAAAUGUGGUGGAGGCUGAUUAGUUCCUUGUGUAACUUAUCCCUUACAAAGUGACAAUCCACCUCUAUAUGCUUUGUACGCUCAUGAAACACCCGGUUCCUUACCAUAUGCACUACAGCUUGGCUAUCACAGAAGAUAGAGAUAGGAUGUAAGUAAGGUACUGUAAGCUCUUCCAACAAUCUCUUAACCCAGAUUAACUCUCCAACUACCUUCCUGACAGACCUAUAUUCUGCUUCUGUAGAGGACAAGGACAUUGUCUCCUGUUUCUUCGAUUUCCAGCCAAUUGGAACAUCAUUAAGCAAGAUAAUGUAACCACUCACUGAUUGUCGCGAAUCACCAUGCUGCCAAGUCUGAAUCAUAGAAAGCCUUUACUGUACAAUCUGAACUAUUGAAAAGGAAGAUUCCCAAGGUUUGAUCAUUUUUAAGGUACCUCAGAACAUGUAUGAUAGCCUUGAGAUGUGGCUCUCUAGGAGACUGCAUAAACUGGCUUAAGUGUUGUACACUAUAAGCAAUAUCCAAUCUUGUAUUGGUUAGGAAGUUAAGUUUCCCAACCAAUUUUUUGUAGUAUGUAGGAUCAGGCAAUAGAGAUCCUUCAUUGGCCUUUAGUUUGAUGCUGCAAUCAAGAGGAGCAGAAACUGUAGUAUAUUGAUUGUCAUACUCCUUCAAUUGGUCUUAGUGAACUUCCUUUGUGAUAUGAGAACCUCAUCAUCUUUAUGAAAUACUUCAAAUCCCAAGAAAUUGUGAAGCCUUCCUAGAUCUUUGAUCUUGAAUUGUAGGAAGGUCUUCAGUGCUUUAAUUUCUUCAAGGUCUGUGCCUGUGAGUAUCACAUCAUCUGCAUAGACUUCCACAAAGACAACCAAAGUGCCAUCCCUUUUAUAGAACAAUGAAUAAUAAUUUGCCAAAUAUGUGAAACCCCUUGUACACAAUGACUCACUUGGUUUAUCAUACCAUUGCCUGCUUGCUUGCUUUAGUCCAUACAAGGACUUGUUCAACUUGCAAACCACAUUCGGGGCUUCAACCUCCAGCCUUGUGGAACCUCUAUGUACACCUCUUCAUGUAAAUCUCCAUGCAAAAAGGCAUUAUUUACAUCCAAUUGGAAAAGCUCCCAUCCUUUCUUGACUGCUAUGCUGAUCAAGGUCCUCAUAGUUGUCAUCUUGACGACUGGAGAAAAUGUCUUAGUGUAGCCUAUGCUAGCUUGUUGCGUAUAUCCCUUUACCCCAAGCCGCGCUUUGAAUCUUUCAACACCGCCAUCUGUUUUGUGCUUGAUUUUUUACACCCAUUUGAUAGUAUCCGAGGAAGCUCAAAUCUAUUCAAGGACAAGGAUGAAGCUUUGGGGUUUCAAAGAGGGCCUUUAACAAGAUCUCAAGCUAAAAAGGUAUAAAAUAAGUUCAUUGGACUUUAGGAAUAAUCAAAGAAGUUGCUAGUUGGGAGGAAGAGCUUAAGGAUAAAGGAUAUGAUUUAUCUACGUGUUAUAAUUAUUUUAUGGCCCAAAUUCAUGUCCAAUAAGAGGUGGAUUAGAUCCCAAGAAACAUCCUCUGAAGAAGGUCCAAAUCAGGCCACUAUUGGACCAAUUUAACACCUGAAAUGUGUCCAAACUUGCAGCCCAUGAAGUCCUACAUAAAGCCACAUUUUUAUAGCAUAAAAAGGACUUACUUGAUGUCCAAGAAUAGUACAAUAGUCGUGCUAGAUGUUGAGUGCAAGUUGGUGCCAAGUUGUUUGCAAAUUCCUUCAAGAUUUCCAAGAUUUUCAAUAUUCUAUCUAAUAUUGGUUUGGGACUUAUUUCCAUAUGUUAUAGGACUAUAUUUAUUGCUUUCCUAGCUAGUUAAGGUUAUGUUUUCCUUUUACUAAAAUUUUUGAAAUUACUUUCUAAGAAUGACUUGGUUUUUGCUUCCUAGUAUUUUCCUUUUCCUAAGGUAGUUGGACUUGUUAUCUAAAGUAGUUUAGUGCUUUAUUUCCUUAUUUUUUAGGUACAAUUUUGUGAUUCCCUCUCUAUAUAAAGGGGUGUCUUCUUUAUUUUUAGACUGAAAUUAUUCAGACUAUUAUAAAUAAAAAUUGUGAGAUUUUUCUUGCACUCUUGUGUGUGGCUACUCUUGGAUUUAUUCUUCAACCUUCAAGACUCAACUUAAGGUGGUAAGAUUAAACUCUUUGAAAAUCUUAGAUCACUUCUAGGUAUUCAAGAAAGGUGAUAAGUUUAGGCUUAUUGUUGUUCUUGUUAUUCUAAAGGGUCGGGUUUCACAAUCUNNNNNNNNNNNNNNNNNNNNNNNNNNNNNNNNNNNNNNNNNNNNNNNNNNNNNNNNNNNNNNNNNNNNNNNNNNNNNNNNNNNNNNNNNNNNNNNNNNNNNNNNNNNNNNNNNNNNNNNNNNNNNNNNNNNNNNNNNNNNNNNNNNNNNNNNNNNNNNNNNNNNNNNNNNNNNNNNNNNNNNNNNNNNNNNNNNNNNAUUAGUUAUUUGUUAGCUAAUUAUUGUUGUUAGGAUUCAAUUUGAAGAAUAGACUUCUUGAAUUCAAGAAACCCUUUCUUGAAUUCAAUCUAUCUUUAAUUUUCCGUCCUUUUUCGUUUCUUUAUUUUCUUUUAGCUUCCGCACAUUUUUCUUAUUUUUCUUUAGUAAUUCUUGAAUCCCCUAUCAUGUUGUUAUCACUAUUUGCACCCUAUAGCUUUCUUACAUGCAAGAAAUUGCACUAGAUCCCAAAUGUGGUUAGCAUACAAAGCCUCAAACUCCCGUGUCAUGGUUGCCUGCCAUGUAGAAUUCAAGGUUGCCUCCUUAUGAGAACAUGGCUCAUAAUCAUGGGAGAUGAUUCUCAUCACAUGCUGGCUGUCCUUACUUAAUGCAGUAAAAGAAAUGUGCUGGCGUUUAGCAAAAAGUGCAUUAAGUGAACUGGUGUGUGUUGUAUUGCUUUUCAGGUUUGGUAGAGAAUAAACAUAUUCAUUGAGAUCGGUGGGUGUUUUAACUAUUCUGGAUGGUAGGCACUACACAUGAAGAUGUAUGACUAUCAAAAUGAUUAGAAGUAUUUGGGUUGUCUGGUGAAGUUUCAGUUCUACUUUGGUCAAUAGUUUCAGGUCCACUAGAUAAAGGAGUGUUGGUGACAAAACUUGGUGAUGUCCUAGUUUGUAGCUGACAAUCACUUGAAGUAUCAGGCAUAUGAUUCAUACAAGUAGAGUCUAAAUGUAGUGAUGGCAAGACACAAGGAAAAGAUGCAUGGUUGGAAGGAACAUCAAAAGGAAAAAUAUUUUCAAGAAACUGGACAUCCCUAGAAAUGUGUAUCUUCUUGGUGGCCAAAUCUAGUACCUUGUAACCUUUUUGCCAAAAGAGUAUCCCACAAAGACAUGAGGUCCAGUUCUUGGUUUAAACUUAUCUUUGCGAGCUUUGAGAACAGUAGGAUAACAUAUGCAUCCACAGCUUUUGAGAUGUGAAUAAUAUGGUUUUCUUUUGUAAAAGACCUCAAAAGGACAUUUAUUGUUAAGGAAUAUGGAAGACAAUCUAUUUAUCAAGUAGGUGGCUGUAAUGUUGCACUCUCCCCAAUACUUAAUAGGUAAUUUAGACUGGUAUAAUAAAGCUCUUGCAGUCUCUAGUAAGUAUUUAUAUUUUCUUUUCACUACACCAUUCGGUUGUGGUGUAUAUGGACAAGUUUUUUGGUGAACAAUGCCCUUUGAUUGAAAAAAUGAUAAGGAUUCAUUAUUGUCAGAUCGUAUGGACUUAACAGAAGAAUUAAGCUGAUUUUCCAUCAUGUACACAAAGGCUUUGAUAACCUGAAUAAUGUUACUUUUGCUGCUUAACAGGUGUGUCCAGGUUGACCUACUAAAGUCAUCAAACACAGUUAGGAAAAAUUUAUAGUUGUCAUGUGUGACUGCAUGAUAUGGUCCCCACAAGUCCAUGUGUACCAGCUCAAAUACUUUGGUGGAUAAUGUGAUUUUCGGGGGAAAUGACAAUCUUGUUUGUCUAGCCAUGAGACAAAUUGAACACAAAAAGGGUUGUUUAGGUGCACAAGUUGCAGGAAUGGAGGGGAUACUCUUCAUUUUCACAAAAGGUACAUGGCUUAAUCUAUUAUGCCACAGAAAAUCAACACAAUUUCCAUGACAUGAAGAAUGAAAUGAAGAUGCACAUGUAUUAGCAGUACAAGAAGUUAUAGAACACACUUUCUUAUCACUUGAAUGUGAUUUAUUUACAGAUGAUGAUGAUGAUGAAGGAUAAAAAGCAGAACAGUGCCUUCCCUUAUUUGAAUGAAUACUAUUUACAAAAGAUGAUGAGGGAUUGGAAGGCACAUUCUGUGUAUUCUAAGUAGAAAUAGAACAUGAACUAGAAAUAUUAGAAAUGGGAAUAGAGGAUGAAACAAGGAACUGACACUUUGAGCAGAGGAAAUACAUGCCAUUCCUCGCUCUACCAAUCUCUACAGGACUGUUCACUGAAGGGGCCUACAAGAUGCAUGAAGAAUCAAAAAAUUGAACAACAGAUUUAAGAUGUGAUGUCAAGAAAUGAACUGAAAUCAGAUUGAACUUAAAACUAGGGACAAAUAAUAUUUUGUGUAAAGUCAGUUUGGGACUAAGGACCACAUUACCAAUUUCCGUCACUCUUACUCUAUAUCCAUUUGGCAAGUUACUAAAAAAGGAUAAGGUAGAAUUUUGGUAUUAGUUAAAAGUGCUUUAUUAUACGACAUAUGGUUAGAGGCCCCUGAAUCUAAUAUUCAAAAAUCAGCAGAUGACUUGAAACAUUUACAAGAAAGAUUGUCAAUUAUUUCUUCAUGAGUGGAUCAAGCCAAUAUACCUGCAAAGUUUGCAGCUCCACUAGUAAUAUUGUUUGAGACUUUGACUGUAUUUUCACCAUGAAAGUUCUCCAGUAGACACAACAACUGAUUGUAUUGCUCCUUCAUCAGAUUCUGAAUCCCUUUGCUUUGGCUUCGAUUCUCAAUCUCAUCAUGACCUCCAAAACACAUCUCCUCAGACCCUCUAUGUACAUUUUCAACGGAUGCUAUAUUUUUCCCGUUUGUAAAUUUGAAAUCUUGAGGAAAUCCGUAUACUCUAUAGCAUUUAUCCUUGGUGUGUCCUCCUUUUUUGCAAUAAUCGCAAAACAAUCGAGAUUUAUUAGGUGGUAGACCAAUCCUAUAUGAAUUAUUCCUUGCAGUAUUUCUUUGUUGAGCAUAAUUGGUACUGAAUGUGUUGUUCACAAGCCCAUUAACAUUCUAUGAAGCAGAUUCCAUGACCAAGUGACUGUUUGGCCUAACCUCUCUCGCUCUGUUUUUCUUCUUGAAUCAAGAUGAAAAAUGCUUGUGCUAUGCUAGGUAAUGGGUUCAUCACCAAGAUACUUUCCAUCACAACAAUAUAUACCUCAUUUAGUCCCAUUAGAAAUUGGAUUGGUCUCCGAUCCUGCUCAACCUUAUACAUAUUGGCCAUGUCACCACAAGUACACUAGCAACUACAUUACGCAUCUGUGUUCAAGGUGUUUAGUUCCUCCCAAAGUCUUUUCAUUACUGCAUAAUAUCCUGUAAUAUCUAGGCUCCCUGACUCAAUUCAUUGAUUUUCCUCUAAAGUUGCUCCAUUCGUUUGGUUGUACCUAUAUUCUAAUUCAUGUCAUAGCUCCUUAGCAUUAUUGACAUAUUGCAAACUGUCUACUAAAUCCUUCGAAAGUGAAUUCAGGAUCCACGAUGUCACUAUGUCGUCGCACCGCUCCCACUGCUCGAAAGUUGCGUGAUUGGAGUCUGGUUUCUUACACUUUCUAGUUAUGAAGCCGACUUUGUUCUUCACUGAUAAAGCUCCAAGGACUCCUCUCCUCCAAGAUCUAUAACUAGUUCCAUCUAAUACGACCGGUACCAGCAUCGUUCCAGCACUCUCCGAUGGGUGCAUGUAUAACGGAUUGGUUGUAUCCAAACUAGGGGUAGUUGAACUCAAGUCAUCCUUAUCUCCAGUCAUGAGUUGACAAGAAAAUAUAGAAACGAGCAAUAAAUUGAUGGAUUUGAGAAGAAAAAAGCAACAAUUUCAACGAAAUUUGGAUAGAUCGCGAUUUCACAAACGUUCGAUUUGCGAUUUUGAAUUGAACAAAAAAAGGCAAUGAAGAACAUGAGUGAAUGAAAACAAGAUCCAAAAUUGAAAAUUAGGCUUUGAUACCAUGUUAAAUUCAGAGAUUAACCAUGAGCGUAGGAUUCCAUUGAUGUGGCACCUUGAGCUCGAGAAACAAAUGAGAGAUUGAGCGUUCAUUGAGAAGAAGUUUCUAGAAAAAUGAAAAUGAGGAAAUGAAUACUAACUUGUAUUCAUUUUCUAUGUUUCUUUUAUAUACACACGUGUGAUAAGAAAAGAAAAUAACUAAGCAACUAAUGCUAAUGCUAAUUACUUAUGUACCCCUAUAACUGCCUAACUUAUUUAACUGUGAUAGCUACUACUAAUUACAUGAAUAAAUACUCUCAAUAACCCCCCUCAAGUUGGAGGUGAGGUACUUUAUCACGACCCAAAAUCCACUAGUCAUGGUGGAAUCUAACCCAACCCGGAAUGUAAGCCAAUUAACAAUUAUCCAUUUCCAUUUAACUUAAUAAUCCAUUAAACAAAGGAAUUAUCUAAAUCUUAUACAUUUCCCAGGGACUAGUAGUACAAAUCAUGAGCUUCUAAGAGUAGAGAUUUUAAAACUGAUAGGAAAUAAAUACGUACUUUUGUUUGAAAAGUACAUAAACAGAGUUAUAUAAUCUAAGGCUACCGUGAAUAAGAGGCAGCUACAGUAGGAACGUAGGUACGCUUUCAAAUCCAGCAACCAUCGAACGCAGCAACAUCGACAUCCGAGAUCUGCACGCAAUGUGCAGGACGUGCAGUAUGAGAGUACAACCGACCUCAUGAACUCAAAAAGUAACAAACCUAACCUCAAGUUGAAAGCAGUGACGAUCUGGAACAUAGUCCGAGUCCAACACAAAUAACCAACAGCAGUUCAUACAGUGAAAAUGUUCAACUUUAGGUGUAUAAAUGCUGAGGAAGGCCAAUCCGGCCCCAUGGAGAAGAUCCAUCUCCAGGUGUAUAAAUGCUUCGGACAAGAUCCAUGUCCAGGGAAAAUUCAUCCCUCAAAAUAAUCAACCGCACACACUGUGAGUGUGUAGACUCCGGAGGGGCUCCCACUACCCAAGCUCUAUAAUAAGACAAUCAUGGCAUAAAUCAAUCAGGCCCUCGGCCUUAUUUAAAAAUCAAUAAAACAUGCUGCGACGUGCAGCCCAAUCCCAUAACUAUCACUCAUAAUCAGGCUCUUGGCCUCACUCAGUCAUCAAUCUCUCUAGUCUCACCCACGGGCUCACAAUGUCAUGAAAACUAACCCGGAACAAUGAUAUGAUGUAUCAAUAAGUAAUAACUGAGACUGAGAUAUGAUAUGAAUGCAUGGAUGUGACUGAGUACGAAAUAUCAAUGAAUUCAAUGAGAUGACAACAAGAAACGACCACUAUGGGUCCUAACAACAUCAACUAAAGCCUAAACAUAAUAUCUAGCAUGAUGUACAACUCAUUUACUUUAUCACAUGGUGGAAACACAGAUAUCAACAAAAUAGGGCCACUAUUCAGUGCCCUGGAAACAACAGAGUCAUAAUUCACUGGGUGCACGCCCACACGCCCGUCACCUAGCAUGUGUGUCACCUCAAAACCAAUCACAUAACACAUAAAUUUGGGGUUGAUACCCUCAACACUAAGUUUAGAAGAGUUACUUAUCUUAAACAAGCCAAUUCUGACACCAAGCAAGCCAAGCGAUGCUCCAAGAAUGCCAUCACGCGUGUUCCGACCUCUCAACGACUCAAAAAUAAUAAAAAAAUAUCUCAAAUACAUCAAACAAUGCUAAAGGAACCAAUCCCAAUCGAAAAAGGUUGAAUCUUUAAUCAAAAGUCCAAAAUUGGCCAAAAAGCCCAACCCGGGCCCGCACCUCGAAAACCCGACAAAACUCACAAAAUUCGUCAAACCAUUCAAUUAUGAGUUGAACCAUACUAGUUUCACUCAAAUCCGACUCUGAAUCGGUGUUCAAAACCCAAAAAAUCAUAUUAUGAAACUUUAGGCUAAAACUGCCAAUUUCUUCUUUAAAAUUCAUCAACCAAAAGCUAAAAUCGAAGAUAGAUUCACGAAAUAUAACCAAAAUCGAGUAGAGAAUAUUAUCCCAAUUCAUAUGCGGAAAAUCUCUUCGAAAAUUGCCCAAUUCUGAGCUUCCCAACUCAAAAUAUGUUAAAUGAACAAAACCCUCAUUUUAACACUGUUCUGCCUCAUUUCUCGUGUCAAAAGAUCUCAAAGCUCACUUUUGAUGCCUCCAAUGGAUUCAUUGUAAACUUUUAGUCAAGUUAGGCUCUUGAAUCACUCCAUUUGACCUUAUAUUGAAGGAGAGAUGUUGGUUUUAAUAUUUAAAAAUAGUGCAGAUUUUUAAAUACGUAGUCAGUGGCAAUUUCGUAAUUAAUUUGAAAAAUCUAGCAACCCAAUUCUUAGUAAAAUGACCAUAAAUCCUCAUACGAUGUCCAAAUAUGACGAUUCUUUUUUGCUAUGGCUCCGUAAUUACGAUACAGAUCUAAUGCUUAAUUAAAACAGAAAUCGGAGCUCAUUUGUUCAAUGUGGUACCAUUUAUGCUUGAAGAAACGACGUCAAAACAUAAGAAAAAUGAGUGCAACACAACCCAAACCUAUUCGAAACUCACCUGAGCCCCUCGGGACCCCGUCGAAACAUACCAACAAGUUUCAUAUCAUAAUACAGACCUACUCGAGGCCUCAAAACACACAUAACAAUAUCGAAACGACGAAACCCACCUCAAAUCAAACUUAAUGAACUUUCGAACUUUUGACUUCCAAAAACUCACGCCGAAACAUACCAAAUCAACUUAGAAUGAAAUUAAAUUUUGCACACAAGUCCUAAUAUAUCAUAUGGAGCUACUCUUGCCCCCAAACUAUUGAGCGAAGUGUAAAUGCUCAAAACGAUCAGUCGGGUCGUUACAUACACACAACCAACUUGCUAGGAAUAUUCGUGUGCUUAAUCCCUGUUAAGGCCUUGGUUAAUAUGUCUGCCAAUUGAUCAUGUGUGGAAAUGUAAGUGGAGACUGAUUAGUCCCUUAUGUAGCUUAUCCCUUACAAAGUGACAAUCCACCUCUAUAUGCUUUAUACGCUUAUGAAAUACAAGGUUCCUUGCAGCUUGGCUAUCACAGAAGAUAUAGACAAGAUGUGGCAAGGUACUGUAAGCUCUUCCAGCAAUCUCUUAACCCAGAUCAACUCUCCAACCACCUUCCUGACAGACCUAUAUUAUGCUUCUGUAGAGGACAAGGAUACUGUCUCAUGUUUUUUCGAUUUCCAGCUAGUUGAACUAUCACCAAGCAAAACGAAGUAACCACUCACAGAUCAGCGUGAAUCACCAUGCUGCCAAGUCUGAAUCAUAGAAAGCCUUUACUGUACAAUCUGAACUAUUGGAAAGGAAGAUUCCCAAGGUUCGAUAAUUUUUAAGGUACCUCAGAACAUGUAUGAUAGCCUUGAGAUGUGGCUCUCUAGGAGACUGCAUAAACUGGCUUAAGUGUUGUACACUAUAAGCAAUAUCCAAUCUUGUAUUGGUUAGGAAGUUAAGUUUCCCAACCAAUUUCCUGUUGUGUGUAGGAUCAGGCAAUAGAGAUCCCUCAUUGGCCUUUAGUUUGAUGCUGCAAUCAAGAGGAGCAGAAAGUGUAGUAUAUUGAUUGUCAUACUCCUUUAAUAGGUCUGUAGUGAACUUCCUUUGUGAUAUGAGAACCCCAUCAUCUUUAUGAAAUACUUUAAAUCCCAAGAAAUUAUGAAACCUUCCUAGAUCUUUGAUCUUGAAUUGUAGGAAGGUCUUCAGUGCUUUAAUUUCUUCAAGGUCUGUGCCUGUGAGUAUCACAUUAUCUACAUAGACUACCACAAAGACAACCAAAGUGCUGUCCCUUUUAUAGAACAAUGAAUAAUCAUUUGCCGAAUGUGUGAAACCCCUUGUACACAAUGACUCACUUGGUUUAUCAAACCAUUGCUUCUUGCUUGCUUUAGUCCAUACAAGGACUUGAUCAACUUGAAAACCACAUUUGGGGCUUCAACCUUCAGCCCCUGUGGAACCUCCAUGUACACCUUCUCAUGUAAAUCUCCAUGCAAAAAGGCGUUAUUUACAUCUAGUUGGAAAAACUCCCAUUCUCUCUUGACUGCUAUGUUGAUCAAGGUCCUCACAGUUGUCAUCUUGACGACUAGAAAAAAUGUCUCAGUGUAGUCUGUGCCAGCUUGUUGCUUGUAUCCCAUUACCACAAGCCUCACUUUGAAUCUUUCAACACUGCCAUCUAUUUUGUGCUUGAUUUUUUACACCCAUUUGCACCCGAUAGCGUUCUUACCUACAAGCAAUUGCACUAGAUCCUAAAUGUGGUUAGCAUACAAAGCCUCAAACUCCUGUGUCAUGGAUGCCUCCUCAUAAGAACAUGGCUCAUAAUCAUUGGAGAUGUUUCUCAUCACUUGCUGACUGUGCUUACUUAAUGUAGUAAAAGAAAUGUGCUCGCGUUUAGCAAAAAGUGCAUUAAGUGAACUGUUGUGUGUUGUAUUACUUUUCAGGUUUGGCAGAGAAUAAACAUAUUCAUUGAGGUAUGUGGCUGUUUUAACUAUUCUGAAUGGUCUCAAAGGCACUACAUGUGAAUAUGUGUGACUAUCAGAAUAAUUAAAAGUAUUUUGGUGGACUGGUGAAGUUUCAAUUCUACUUUGGUCAAUAGUUUUAGGUCCAACAAAUAAAGGAGUGCUAGUGACAGAACUUGGUGAUGUCUUAGUUUGUAGCUAAUAAUCACUUGAAGUAUCAGGCAUAUGUUUUAUACAAGUAGAGUCUAAAUGUAGUGAUGGCAAGAGACAAGAAAAAGAUGCAUGGUUGGAAGGAACAACAAAAGGAAAAAUAUGUUAAUGAAACUGGACAUCCCUAGAAACAUGUAUCCUCUUGGUGGCCAAAUCUAGUACCUUAUAACCUUUUUGUGCCAAAAGGAUAUCCCACAAAAAUAUGAGGUCCAGUUCUUGGUACAAACUUAUCUUUGUGAGCUUUGAGAAUAGUAGGAUAACACAAGCAUCCGAAGCUUUUGAGAUGUGAAUAAAGAAGUUACAGAAUACGCUUUCUUAUUACUUGAAUGUGAGUAUUUACAGAUGAUGAUGAUGAAGGACAAACAACAGAAUAGUGCCUUCCCUUAUUUGAAUGAAUACUAUUUACCAAAGAUGAUGAGGGAUUGGAAGGCACAUUCUGUGUAUUCCAGGUAGAAAUAGAACAUGAACUAGAAAUAUUAGAAACGGGAACAGAGGCUGAACUAAGGAACUGCCACCUUGAACAGAGAAAAUAUAGGCCAUUCCUCGCUCUACUAAUCUCUAAAAGCCUCUUCAUUGGAGGGGCCUACAAGAUGCAUGGCGAAUCAGAAAAUUGAACAAUAGAUUUAAGAUGUGAUGUCAAGGAAUGAACUGAAUCAGAUUGAACAUAAAAUUAGGGACAAAUAUUACUUUGUGUAAAGUCAGUUUGGGACUAAAGACCGCAUCACCAAUUUCUAUCACUCUUACUUUAUAUCCAUUUGGCAAAGUUACUAAAAAGGAAAAGGUAAAAUUCUGGUAUUAGUUAAAAGUGCUUUAUUAUACGAUAUAUGGUUAGAGUUCCUGAAUCUAAUAUCUAAAAAUUAGUAGAUGACUUGAAACAUUUACAUGAAAGAUUGCAAUUUUUUAUUCAUGAGUGGAGCAAGCCAAUAUACCUGCAAAGUUUGUAGCUCCACUAGUAAUGUUGUAUGAGACUUCGACUACAUUUCCACCAUGAAAGUUCUCCAGCAGAUGCAACAACUGAUUGUAUUGCUCCUUCGUCAGAUUCUGAAUUUCUUUGUUUUGGCUUUGAUUCUCAAUCUCAUCAUGACCUCCAAAAAACAUCUCCUUAGACCCUCCAUGUACAUUUGUAGCGGGUGCUAUAUUUUUCCCUUUAUUAAAUUUGAAAUCCUGAGGAAAUCCAUGUAGUCUAUAGCAUUUAUCCUUGGUGUGUCCUCCUUUAUUGCAAUAAUCGCAGAAUAACCGAGAUUUGUUAGGUUGUAGGCCAGUCCUGUAUGAAUUAUUCCCUGUAGUAUUUCUUUGUUGAGCGUAAUUGGUACUGAAUGUGUUGUUCUUAGGUCCAUUGAUGUUUAGUGAAGCAAAUUCUAUGACCAAGUGGUUGUUCGGCCUAACCUCUAUCUCUAUGUUUUUCUUCUUGAAUAAAGAUGGAAAAUUCUUGUGUUAUGCUAGUUAAUGGGUUCAUUAACAAGAUACUUCCCAUCACAACUCUAUAUAUCUCAUUUAGUCCCAUUAGAAACUGGAUUAGUCUCCGAUCCUGCUCAACCUUAUUCAUAUUGUCCUUGGUACCACAAGUACACUUGCAACAACAUUACGUAUGUGUGUUCAAGGUGUCUAUUUCCUCCUAAAGUCUUUUCAUUUUUGUAUAAUAUCCUGUAGUAUCUAGGGCUCCCUGACUCAAUUAAUUGAUUUCCCUCUGAAGUUGAUAGAGUUUCGCUCCAUUCGUUUAGUCGUACCUAUCUUCUAAUUCCUGCCAUAGCUCCUUAGCAUUGUUGACAUAUUGCAAGCUGUCUGCUAAAUCCUUUAAAACUGAAUUCGGGAUCCACGAUGUCACCAUGUAGUCGCACUGCUCCCACUGUUCGAAAGGUCUGUAAUUAGAAUCUGGUUUCUUACACUUUUCCGUUAUGAAGCCGACUUUCUUCUUCACUGAAAGGGCUCUCAGGAUUCCUCUCCUCCAAGAUUUGUAACUAGUUCCAUCGAAUGCGAUCAGUACCAGCAUUGUUCCAGCACUCUCCAAUGGGUGCAUGUACAACGGAUUGGUUGAAUCCAUACCAGGGUUAGUCGAACUCGAAUCCUUAUCUCCGGCCAUGAGUAGAGAAAAAAAUACUGAAACGAGCAAUCAAUUGAUGUAUUUGAGAAUAAAUAAAGCAAUAAUUUUGACGGACUUCGGACAGAUCGCGAUUUCGCAAACUUUCUGAUAACAACACGAUAGGGGAUUCAAGAAUUACUAAAUAAAAAACAAGAAAGUCAAGAAACGUGCGGAAGCUAAAAGAAAAUAAAGAAACGAAAAAGGACGGAAAAUUAAAGAUAGAUUGAAUUCAAGAAAUCCUUUCUUGAAUUCAAGAAGUCUAUUCUUGAAAUUGAAUCCAAACAACAACAAUUAGCUAACAAAGAACUAAUCGCCUUUGGUAGAGAAUUAAAAACAAGAGAUAGAUUGUGAAAGCCGACCCUUUAGAAUAACAAGAACAUCAAUAAGCCUAAACUUAUCACCUUUCNNNNNNNNNNNNNNNNNNNNNNNNNUCAUUCUUUGACAUCAUGUAAGUCCUUUUUAUGCUAUUAAAAAUGUGAUUUUAUGUAGGACUUCAUGGGCUGCAAGUUUGGACACAUUUUAGAUGCCAAAAUUGUUCAACAAUAGCGUGAUUUGGACUUUCUUCAGAGGACGUUUCUUGGGAUCUAAUCCACCUCUUCUUGGAAAUGAAUUUGGGCCAUAAAAUAAUUAUAACACCUAUAUAACUCAUAUACUUUAUCCUUAAGCUCUUCCUCUCAACUAACAACUUCUUUGAUCGCUCCCGAAGUCCAAUGACCUUGUUUUGCAGUUUUUUUAGUUUGAGAUCUUGUUAAAGGCCCUCUUUGAGAUUCCAAAGCUUCAUCCUUGUCCUUGAAUAGAUUUGAGCUUCCUAGGAUGCUAUCAUUCCCCUCUUCUUGAAGAAAAUUCGUCCUCGAAUUUCGGCAUUGCAAGAAAAUGAAGACAUGUACUAGUAAAUGACAUCCACUAAUCUGGAAAAAUUGUAAAAAUAAAACAAGAUAGUGACCAUGUGUCCACUUAACCCAAGUAAGCAUAAUAGGUGUAAAUACUCCUUUAUAAAGCAUAUGGACAUCAUCAUCCCAAUAAAAUUUACGCCUACUUAGAUUUGUCCCAUAAAAGUCUCUCUUAAGGUAGUCAAAAAAUGUGGAUGACAAUGAAAUUACAAAAGAUUGAUCAUGCGUCCAUUUAAAACAAGUAUCUCUAUCACAUGUAUCAAAUAAGACACUUUUAUGACAUAGCCAAGUAUCAAUUAUAAAUUUCAUGGAUUCUUCUACAUAUAAGCUAUUCAAAGAAGCACAUAAAUUCACAAGAAGGUUAGAAGAACCCAUAAAUUCCAAAAUAAAAAUUUCAAUAUAUUCAAGCUUAUGAUUAUAACUUUUCCCAAUAAUAUUCGCAAUAUCAAUGGAUUCUACAAAAUUGCUCAAACCGUCACAGAAAGAGUCAUAGAUAGGUUCAUGACAGAGUAUUUGAUGACUAAUGUCACAAUAAUCAUGCAUAUCCUCUUUACUAGAAGCAAGCACUUUUACAAGCUCACAAUCAACAUGACUAGAGGAAUGAUUUUCCAUCAAAUAACAAAACUUACAUUCUAGCAAUUUAUCACAUGAAAACUCAUCAGGCACUUGAAUAAGAGAAUAAAGAAUAUUUAACUCAUUAGCAAGUCUCUUCUCAUAAAUUUCAUGCCUCUUUCCACCAAGUUGGAAUGCAUAAUCAUCUAUGUCAUACUCAAUUUCAAAAGGAAGCAAAUUACUCUUGCACUUGAACUUAGAUAUUACAGUUAAUGACUAUGCAUCAAAAUAUCAUCAUCCACAAAAAUUAUAAAGUCACUAACAUAGGAAAUUAGAGUAUAGUUCAUUACCUCCAAAAAUACCUUAGGUGUCCUAGAAAGGCCAAGAAUUCGAAUAAACCAAUUAUGCAUACUAUACUUGGACUUAUUUACCAAUGGAACAUCUUCACCUUGUAUUCUUUUAUGCAAUGACUCCAACUUAGCAAUGCAUUUAGGCAACUCCAUGUUAUAAACCUGUGAAUAAGGAUCAAAAUAGUCAAAAGGUUCAACAACAAAUAAAUUAAUCAAGCUUUUAUCUUCCACCAUCCAACAAGAAUUGAUUUCACCUAAUUCAUGUUGGAAUCUAAUGGGAUCCUUUACCACUAUCUCUUGAGCCUCACCUAUCCUUUUAGAAGGAUAACUAAAACAAGAAAGAGUUAAUGGGUUAGGAAGUAAAGAACAUGUUUUCUUACUUACACUCUCUUUGGCUUUUAUCUCAAGACUAACUUUUUUCCUCACCCUUAGCCUCUUUUCUCUCACUAAAGUUUUCUUCUUUUUCUUCACUCAAACCCUCAUAUUUUUCUCUCUCUACCUCACAUACUUUUGUUAUCUCAUUGCUUUUCCUCUUUUCUUUUCCCUCAAACUCACUUUUUUUCUCACUUGACAUCCCAGUCUCUUCACUCAACACAACCUCUCCUUUUUCCUCUCUUGGGAUGUCGACAUGCACUCCCUUACUCCUCUCAUUCUUUUCUCUUUCAUAUUUUUCCAUAUUCUCUUUAACGGUCUUUUCAUCUUCACAAAUUUGUGAGGGAGUCAAAGGUCCAAGAAUGAGUUUCUUUCCGUUAAUCUCAAAAGAGUAUCUAUUUUUUCCCAUGUUAUAUGAAGCUCUUCUGUAAACAUACCAUGGCUUUUCCAACAAGACAUGAUAAUUAUUCAUGAGAAUCACAUCACACCAGAUUGCAUCCUAAUACCUUCCAAUAGAGAAUAGUAAUAACACUCUUUUAUCUACCUUUACUCCUCCAAACAUGUAGGGUUUAAUAUGCUCAACAUAAGGCAAGUUCAAUUUCUCAACCAUAUAAGUGCUAAUUGAGUUAUAGUCAAACUCUUUGUCAAUUCUAAGGGCACAAAUUGCAGACAUCACUUUAGCUCUUGUUUGAAAAAUAACUUUACCAUUGUCUUCCUUCCAUUCGGUAUACUGUAAGUUCGACUUUUCAAGUUGUUGAGUCAUAGCUCGCCUCCUUUCACAAUAACUACCUGUUUGAACAUCUUGAACAAAGAUUAGAAGAAUUAUGUCUCUCUCAAAUAUUGCUUUUUUCCUUCUAAUAUUCUCACCUCUCUUGCCUUUUUCCACUCAAUGCAACUCUUGGUCGUUAAUAUUUAGAUUUAUAAAUAAACCUACCUAGUCACAACCCUUAGUGAUAAGAAUAUGGAGUUAGAAAAAGAAAGAAAAGUGAAUGACCAAACCUAGGAAGAAUAGGAAUUGGUUAGUAGAAAAAAAAAUGGAAAGAAUUUUAGGAAACCCAAAACCCACAAGAAUAAGGAAAGAAGUUUCCUUAAUCUUCAAGAAAAAAAAUCCCCUUUUCUUGUUUCCUUUCUUGACUUGGAAACCAAAUAAUACUUGAAUUCUAAAAAUAAUAAUGAGCAAUAACACUUUUUUAGGCUGAUUUUCAUUUUUUUUUUGCUCAAGAACCUCCCAAGAUUAUCAAGAUUGAAAUCUUGAUUAGCCUAUGCUCUGAUACCACUUGAUAACAACACGAUAGGAGAUUCAAGAAUUACUAAAGAGAAAACAAGAAAGUCAAGAAACGUGCGGAAACUAAAAGAAAAUAAAGAAACGAAAAAGGACGGAAAAUUAAAGAUAGAUUNNNNNNNNNNNNNNNNNNNNNNNNNNNNNNNNNNNNNNNNNNNNNNNNNNNNNNNNNNNNNNNNNNNNNNNNNNNNNNNNNNNNNNNNNNNNNNNNNNNNNNNNNNNNNNNNNNNNNNNNNNNNNNNNNNNNNNNNNNNNNNNNNNNNNNNNNNNNNNNNNNNNNNNNNNNNNNNNNNNNNNNNNNNNNNNNNNNNNNNNNNNNNNNNNNNNNNNNNNNNNNNNNNNNNNNNNNNNNNNNNNNNNNNNNNNNNNNNNNNNNNNNNNNNNNNNNNNNNNNNNNNNNNNNNNNNNNNNNNNNNNNNNNNNNNNNNNNNNNNNNNNNNNNNNNNNNNNNNNNNNNNNNNNNNNNNNNNNNNNNNNNNNNNNNNNNNNNNNNNNNNNNNNNNNNNNNNNNNNNNNNNNNNNNNNNNNNNNNNNNNNNNNNNNNNNNNNNNNNNNNNNNNNNNNNNNNNNNNNNNNNNNNNNNNNNNNNNNNNNNNNNNNNNNNNNNNNNNNNNNNNNNNNNNNNNNNNNNNNNNNNNNNNNNNNNNNNNNNNNNNNNNNNNNNNNNNNNNNNNNNNNNNNNNNNNNNNNNNNNNNNNNNNNNNNNNNNNNNNNNNNNNNNNNNNNNNNNNNNNNNNNNNNNNNNNNNNNNNNNNNNNNNNNNNNNNNNNNNNNNNNNNNNNNNNNNNNNNNNNNNNNNNNNNNNNNNNNNNNNNNNNNNNNNNNNNNNNNNNNNNNNNNNNNNNNNNNNNNNNNNNNNNNNCCAUUCUUGGAUAUCAUGUAAGUCCUUUUUAUGCUAUUAAAAAUGUGAUUUUAUGUAAGACUUCAUGGGCUGCAAGUUUGGACACAUUUUAGAUGCCAAAAUUGUCCAACAAUGGCGUGAUUUGGACUUUCUUCAGAGGAUGUUUCUUGGGAUCUAAUCCACCUCUUUUUGGACAUGAAUUUGGGCCAUAAAAUAAUUAUAACACCUAGAUAACUCAUAUACUUUAUCCUUAAGCUCUUCCUCUCAACUAACAACUUCUUUGAUCGCUCCUGAAGUCCAAUGACCUUGUUUUGCAUUUUUUAGAUUGAAAUCUUGUUAAAGGCCUCUUUGAGAUUCCAAAGCUUCAUCCUUUUUCUUGAAUAGAUUUGAGCUUCUUAGAUGCUAUCACUUUCUAUUUUCUAUUUUGAAUUGAACAAAAAAAGGGCAACGAAGAACGAUAAGUGAAUGAGAACAAGAUCCAAAAUUGAAAAAUAGGCUCUGAUACCAUGUCAAAUUCAGAGAUUAACCACUAGCGUAGGCUGCCAUUGAUGUAGCACCUUGAGCUCGAGAGACAAAUGAGAGAUUGAGCUGUGAAAGAGAAGCAGUUUCUGGUGAAAUAAAAAUGAGGAAAUGAAAGACUAACUUGUAUUCAUUUGAUAUGUUUCUUUUAUAUACACACGUGUGAUAGGAAAAGAAAAUAUCUAAUCGACUAAUGCUAACACCUAAUUACAAAAGUACCCCUGUAACUGCUUAACUGAUUUAACUGUGAUAGCUACUACUAAUUACAUAAAUAAAUGCUCUCAAUAUUUUUAAGGAAGAUUUGAUUUUGUAGUCAAUUAUAAAUAUUAUUUUAGUUAUAUGACUCUUUAUCACAGGAGAUCAACAAACAAUAACACAAGAGAUUUGUAAAUAAAAUAUACUAUGAGAUUCUUGUAGGGUCAAUUGUAGGUGGGCAUAUAAGAUCAUUUCCCCAAUCAUGUGAUUAAUUGAACGAAUAUUAUUACCUACUUAUAAGUUGUAGCCAUGUGUCUAUUUCAACAACCAGAGGAUCCAUUCUGUUCUUUCUAAUUUACUUUCGUAUAGACUCCUAAAACAAAUUAGUAUGCACAAUAUCUCUAUGAAAUAUGCCUCGACAAUUAGUAACCAAAUAAAGUAAGUUCCCCUAGUAAACGGAACAGAAAGAGUUGCCUAAAAACAAUGAAAAAAAGUUAAGUAGAACAUUCAAAACACCUCAUUUUAUCCAUUAAGCUUAAUAUGAAACUAUGGUUCUACGGAAGGUUGAUUUAAAUCGUGUAAUAUUGCAUAUGGUUUUUGUUGGUUAUUUGGUUCAUAUAUCAUUAUUACUGGUGUCUCACACAUAUGGACUGCAAUGGACAACGCAGUGGCAGUGAAUCACCACCAAUUAAGGAUUUGUGGUGACAUAUGAUUUCACGAUUAUUAAUCAGAUGUCUCGAGUUCGAGUUCGAAUUCGAGUUAUGAGAAUAAAAAAUAUUCUGGUAGGGAGAAGUUUUUCUUUAAUAAACCUUUAUGCAAUACAAAUUCAAAUUAAUCGGACACCAAUACAAAUACCGAAUACCGGAUAACAAACCAAAAGAAAAAAAAAA